rnacentral:lncRNA from 1 species
CCGUUCGACGACGACGGUUACCUGGGCUACGACCCCCGACUCUCAUCCCAGCGAUUCGACUCCUUCGUCGACUCCGAGUCGCUCAAGGACUCCGCCACCGAUUCCCAAUCUUCCACGGCUCCGCCGUAGGCGACGUUUUCGCCACUGAGCCGGCGUCGGAGGCCUUCUCUCCUCCGUCGAUCUACGCCGAAUUGAACGGCCAGGGCUUUGAUGGAGGAUUUGGCGGGUCUGACGAUCCGAUUUUGCCUUCUCCGUCCUAGAUGCUUUGAUGAAGGGUUUGGCGGGUCUGUCGAUCUACGCCGAAUUGAACGGCCAGGGCUUUGAAUUGCUGAUUCAUUCAAUAAUUGAAUACUUGAUCGAAAUAGGCGUUGAAGAAGAGCCACAAAAUGUUGACACGUAGCUCCCGACAUCCGCUCAGCUUGGUUAUUCAUAACUUUUUACAAGAUCGUAACUUUUAUUCUCUCUGCUGGGACUGAACUUUUCGGAAUUCAACUAAAGUGAUGGUCACAACUGUUUAGGAUUCGCUAUGUAAAUUUACAAUGUUUCCCUGUUAGGCUUCAUCGUAAAACAAAUGCUACUAGUAUUGGUUGUGUUAAUGGUUUUCUGAACUCUAGUCCUUUGAGCUAAACAUUUUGGAAUUGAACUUUGUCACAACUUUGCGGUUUCUUUGCCUUUAAUAUCCAUAUCGAUUUCUCUGGCAUCUAACUUCUAAGGUAUGAAGAAGCGAGGAGUUAACAUGCAUUUCUGACAUUGUUUUGAACUUGUAUUUUGGCGUUUCUCAGCUGUUCCUAGCUAAUCAAGAGAAGUUUCAUUGCUGAGGUAGACAAGAACUACUGGAAGGCAAUUGCGGACCUCAUCCCCAAUGAGGUGCCAGCAAUCGAGAAGAAGAUAGGGACGAAGGAUACGGAAAAGAAGCUAUCCAUUCUCGUUGUCCAAGGUCCAAGGCCUGGAAAGCCAACCGAGCUUUCAAGGAUGAGGCAGAUACUUUUAAAAUUGAAGCAUAAUACAUCUCCCCACCUUAAGCCUUCACCGCCAGACCCAGCUCCCAGCAAGGAUGCAAAACCGAGUACUUCUGCUCCCCCCAAGGCUGCAGUUGUGGCGGCUACCCCCGAGGCUGUAGUUGCUGUUUCGUAAUUUGCCUGGCGUUCUUUGUGAGGCGUAGUUCGUAGAAAACAAGUAUUUCCAUUACAACAUUGUGGAGUUUUUCUUGUUUGGUUGAACAUUUUCUGAUGGGUAUAUUCCGUUCUUAGAUUUUCUUGUUUCCAUUGGCGAUGGAUUUCUCGGUGGACUGUUGUCUCCUUGAAGUCCGGGAUGACCGAGAUCGAUUGAUUCAGCGUCGUCGGAAAUCAUCGGGGCUGGAUCAGAAACUCCCCCAACUGCGACAGCCAAAUCACGGCGUAACAGAGAAAGUUCAUGGCAGACGGGUGCCAGAGCUUCACGGAAUGCAGCACGCACUGAAGCUUCAAAGGAGUCGAAGGCAGCUGAAACUCGCGCGUCCAUGGCAGCGAGAUGAUAGGAUUAGGAUCACAAAUCUCAGGACGCUAUCUCAACCUGCAAGCUGCAAUAGAAAUGGCAAAUGGAGAAGAUGAAGUAGAAGGGAGCAGAGCUCCAAUAUAUUUUUGUGUUCGUAUUUUUUUUCUGUAAAAACUCUUCUGAUUACAAUACUGAGAGCUAGUGCUCUUAUACAAGUUACAACUCUUCUGAUUUUCAGUGUCCUUGAUUUCAAGUGACUGGAUGACGUUACAUGACAUACAUUUGUGGAAUGAUUGAAAUAAUUUUUAACGGGUGGCACCACUAAACUAUGUAUUGGAUUGGUUGCAACCUGCAAGUCAGAAUUUAUGUAUAAUAAUGAUUGCAUUAGCUAAAAGACACAACUGAUUAUCGUUAACAUUAGAUAAUUUGAAAGAAACAACUGAAUACUUUAUAGAAGAAAAUGUUGGAGCAAUUUAAAAAAUAUGAAAAUAAUAUAAAUUCUAACGAUAAUAAGAAUCAAGAAGUCACAACCAAAUUUAAUUUGAUAUAUACUCAAAACCAGCUGAUUCACUGUUCACAACCACAGUUUUCUUCCCGUUUUGCCCCUGUUAAAUUUGAUUUAUUACAUCUCUGCCACACUCUGAGAAAAUAUAUAUACGUUUUAUUUUUUUAUUCUCUUCUCUUCUUCUGUCUUCCCCCUCUCGCUCCUCACCGACGCCGACUUACCGUUCGAACGAGAAACCCAAAAAUCGACGUUUUCUGACGGCUGCCACUGCAACCACAACAAUUCGACUCAAGAGAGUGCUAACAACAACAACAUUCGAGCUUUGCGUGCUCGAAUCUACCCUCGACCGAAGAGUUCCAAAAGCCCAGCUUGCGGUGUUUAUUUUUCCGGGCAAUUUCAGGCCUUUCCUACCUUUUUUGGGUCGGAGAGGGUAAGAGAGGAAUUGGCUGAAACUCAUAAACCAGUCAUCGGUGGAAUUGAAUGUUAGGAGCAAAACGAUUUUUCAUUAGAUAAGGAGUGAGCAAUGUUGAAUGCUAUCAGUUCUCAUAUGCUGCCUUGACAUGAAACAUAAAUAUUGACGAGAAUUGCACGUCUAUUGCAUGAAAUCAUUUAUUUUCAUCCUAUUUUGCGUGUUUAGGGAACUUGAAUGAAUGGUCAAACUAUACCAUCGUAUGCAUUGGCGUUGAACCGUGCGCAUGCAUCCCUAAUUCGCCGCGGGUGGACGUUAGCCUUUUCUCCUCCCCCUUCAGUACUCAUGUGAGUCUGUGACUCAAGUCUAACACUUAAUCUUCUGUUUGGAAAUGCCUCUGUUUUUUUACUUGCUGAAAACGCCUCUGUCAAAUUUUUUUUAAAGGCCUUUUCUUUGUUUCAUCUUAUCUUCCUCCUUUUCUUUGCCCAGUUAUGCCUAUGUCAUCUCUUUCUAAUUUAAAUGCACUCAUUUAGUCACUCACAUUGUAUCUGAGAGCAGAUGAAAAAAGAGGAAAUGGGGAUUAUAUAUGUAAACUCUCUGUCUCAGCUUUGCUUAUAUGUCCCCCCAUUUGUUUUCUUAUACGUCAAUAUUAGAUGUGAAUAUUAGAACUGCCAAUCCAAAUUCACCUAUUUGCUCGUCAUGAGACUAAUUAGAAUUAGCUAUCUUACGGAUGUGUUAAUUAAAAAAAGUCUAGCCAAUUUUUUGCAUGUUUAAGUAGUAGUAAUUAAACUCAAAAGAUGCUCAAGUGCUUGAAUUUUUAACAAUGUUCCAUUAGAGGAUCAAGCAUUGUAACUUAAUGCUGCCUCAUUGGGUUGUCAGCUUUUGUAUGGAUGCAAUUAGUAGAAAUUACGUUUUCAUUGCUACGAACAGUUUUGUUUUCAUUGAUGUCUGGAAAGAUUUCGGGAAAACAGGAUGAAUAGUGUAAGAAUGUAGGUUGGUGUAUGUAUAAAUUAGCUCUCCCAAUUUUCUUCUUUAAUUUAUUUUUCUGUUUAUUUUGUUUUCAUUGCUUAGCUUAAUUAUAAGUUAGGUGUGGUUGAAAAUUACAAGUUUUCUUCAUGCAUGUGUUUUUCUUUCUUCCUAGCUAUCUAUCUGUUGUCUGAGGUUUCAAUUACAUUCACACGAUAUUUUAACGGACUGUGCCAGAAGAACAUCUUUUUGGCAACGAUGAAGAAAGAAGAGUGAAGUCCUGAGGAACGAUCUGAAAGUUGGGACAUGAAAAGCAAAAAUAUUUUGGUGUGUAUUAUAUCUAUAUGAACAGCUUAGUCUCCAACUUUUUUUGCUAUGUAAUGUGUUCUACAAACACCUAUCUUUUAUUCCUUAAUGAACAUAAGGAUGUAAAUAGAGUUUGAUAUGGAUGUAAAUGGAUUUUAACAUAUUCUACACGUUUAACACAAUUAAAAACCUAUGGCAUCGCGCAGGUUCAAUUGCUGGUAUAUACUACAAUUACAAGUGUGUAAACAAUCAAUGUAAACAACAAAGAAAGUAAGAAAGAUUGACAAAUUUGAAGACUGGACAAACACAAACUUAGUAAAGCAAAAUAUUAAACAGACAGAACACUAAACUUAAAUAGACAUCCAAGCAAGCGCAAAGAUGAUCUUACAAAGAUCAUUCACAAAUCAUACAAUAAAAGCAACUGCAAAAAUAUUAAAACCGACAGACCGCUCCACGCAAACUACUGUCCAAGUUUCAUGACAGCUGAAAUAAUGAUGACAGGCCAUUAUUUCUCACUACAUAGGCCUUGAUUAGAGACGCUCACUUGGCAUCUGAUUCCAGUUAGCAUGUCCCUUAUUAGACUCAAUUCAGAGACCACAUUGCUCAUGUCUUUUCGCUCCCUCGGCAUCGCUACAGAACAAGCCACUCCCACUCUUGCAAUGGAAGUCAAGCACCCCACAACCCUUUUUCUUUGAUCAUUUGGGGUAUGAUUCCCCCUGUUACUUCUGGGAUUAGUACUACUUUUGCUUUCUUCUAUUUGAACAAGUAGUGGAUCACAUAUAUCUUCCACACGUCCUGGUAGAGCCAUCGAAACAAAAUUGUGCAAGUCCAUACCAUCUUUAAACAUUUCAUAUGUUGGCCUCUUACCAGUUAACAUCUCUAACAACAGUAUUCCAUAGCUAUACACGUCACCAUAUGUUGCCACCUCGCUUCCCAUUCCAUACUCUUUCAAGUUAUAAGUUAUAUGCACAAAAACAUAGCUUUGUUCUCAUGUGUCUUGAAAAAACUCAUGCUCUAUAUAUAUAUAUAUAUAUAUACACACACACACACGUAUGUAUGUAUGUUUAUGUAUGUAAAAGAAAAUUUACCUGGGGGAGUAUAGCCUAUGGAGCCUUUUAUGACACUGGAACUGCUUUCGUGCAAAGGAGAUGGGCAAGAAGCAUCUCGGAAGUACCUUGCUAAACCGAAAUCACCUACACAAGCAAUCAUGUCAUUGUCUAACAAAAUGUUGUUGGGCUUUAUAUCACAAUGAACUAUUGGCAUGUGGAAGCGGUUGUGCAAAUAAUCCAGAGCACACCCUACAUCAAUGGCAAUGUUAACUCUUUGAGUGAGGUUCAGGUUCUUUGGCAGAUUGGCUGACCUAUCUACUCCUUGAGUUGAUAUGUGCAGCCACUCAUCUAGGCUUCCAUUCACCAUGAACUCAUACACCAGGGCUUUGAAAUUGUUUCCUUGAAAAUCAAUGCUUGAACAAGCAGUCAGUAGCUUGACAAGAUUUCGAUGCCUAAUGCUUUUCAAGGCUUCACAUUCAGAUAUGAAACUUUUAGAAGCUCUUGAAGUUUGAAGAUUGAGUACUUUCACCGCAACAUUUCUUUCUUCAUGCUGAUUGAGAACUCCCUUGUACAAACAAAUGCCUGUGAGGGCAAACAAAUGCCUGUCACUGUUAGAUUAAGACUAGGGAAUUAAUAGACAUCACAGCCUUGUUAGUCAAUAGAAAGAUAAUUGGAUCAACGCGGUUUUUAGCUUUGAUUUGUCAAACUAUACCGAUAUUGACAUAAUUUAUCUAAGAAUUUGAUUCAUAUUUUCCUACAGACAAAUCUGGAUAUGCCUGCUCCCACACCCUGGACACUAAUGUAGCAAAAUUUCUUGUAAAUGGGUUCAAAAUCUAAAUUAAAUCCUGAAAAUAAAAUUUUAGGAUUGUCUUCUGAUGUUGACACGUGUCGCGCUAUGAUUAGCUUCUAAUGUCAACAUUUGUCGCGCUAUGAUUAGCCUCUUGGUUGGAGGGAAACUCUUCUGGAUCCUUGACGGUAUAACGUUGACUGGUGCUCAGUAGUUUCGGGAUUGGUCAAGUAUGGUACAAACAAACUCCAUGGGCGAAUCCGAACCCAACUCAAAUAAAUCUAAACCUACUUCAAACCCGAACCUGACUACACCCAUAAGAACCCGUACCCAACCCAAAUUGUAAAGGUUGGGUUGGGGUUGGUUUGACCAUGCAACACGCCCAACCCACCCGAGUUCCACGCCUAUCUCUAAGCUCUCUCUCUUCUCUUUCUCUCUAACCCUCGCUUGCGACCCUCUCUUUGGAUCUCUCUAUCUAUCUAAUUAAAUUAGUAGUAAUGCUUGAAUCCACGGGGAGUUGUUGUAGUUUUUUUUUUUCCUUUUUUUUUAAUUAAAUUUUUUUUAAACCAUUUUAAAUCUCAUACCAAACAAGUUCUUGAAUCUUAAAUAAAAUUGUUCUUAAAAGAUGUUCUUAAGAAUUUUUUUUUAAAAAUUAUGAAAAACAUUUAAGUACGAUACCAAACACGCCCUAACCAAACUCUCUAAAAUAAGAUUUCUCUGCCUACCCGGCCUGUUACUUGGGCUACCAAAACCACCAAAUGAGCAAUGAGUAAAUUUAUUAACAAUGCAAAAGGUGCGCUUAACGUUUAUUUUUGCAGGCUGUGUACGAAAAGGCUUGCAUACAUACAUACAUACAUAUAUAUACAUAUAUAUACACACACACACACCAAACUUGAAUUGACAAAUUCUAAACUUAAAAUUGCAUAAUUUAAUUAUAAGAACAUGAACCAACCUUAAAUUGACAAAUUUCAAAUUUCCAAGCAAACAUAAAGAUGAUCUUACAAAUUAAGAUCAUUCACAAAACAUACAAAAUGAAAUUGCAAAACGGGAAAAUCCACUUCACUUGUUCCAGUCCUCCUCGUCAUCAUUCAGAAGAUCACCAUGCAAAAUUCAAGCACUGUCAUGGGAUUUUAUUUAAUGAUAACAGGGUAUUAUUACUCACUACUUAGGUCGUCAUCACAGAUUCUCUCUGGGCAUCCUAGUUCCAGUUAGCACAUCCCUUAUUAGACUCAAUUCAGAUACCACAUUGCUCAUGUCCUUUCGCUCUCUCGGCGUCGCUACAGAACAAGCAACUCCUACUCUUGCAAUGUCAGUCAAGCACUCCACAACCCUUUUUCUUUGAUCAUUUGGGGCAUGAUUCCCCCUAUUACUUCUGGGAUUAGUACUGCUGCUGCUUUCUUCUAUUUGAACAAGUAGUGGAUCACAUAUUUCUCCCACACGUUCUGGUAGAGCCGUUAUAACAAAAUUGUGCAUGUCCAUACCACCUUUAAACAUGUCAUCUGUCGGCCUCUUGCCAGUUAACAUCUCCAACAACAGUAUUCCGUAGCUAUACACAUCGCCAUAUGUUGACAGCUCGCCUCCCAUUCCAUACUCUUUUAAGUUAUAUGCACAAAAACAGAGCUUUGUUCUUAUAUGUGACUUCAAAAAACUCAUGCUAUAUACAAAACCAUACUGGAAGCACAAAUAAAAUAUAUACAAAAGAAAAUUUACCUGGGGGAGUAUAGCCUAUGGUGCCUUUUAUGACAUUGGAACUGCUCUCGUGCAAAGGAGAUGGGCAAGAAGCAUCCUGGAGGUACCUUGCUAAACCGAAAUCACCAACACAAGCAGUCAUGUCACUGUCUAACAAAAUGUUGCUGGGCUUUAUAUCACAAUGAACUAUUGGUAUGUGGGAGCGGUUGUGCAAAUAAUCCAGAGCAUACGCUACAUCGAUGGCAAUGUUAACUCUUUGAGUGAGAUUCAGAUUCUUUGGCAGAUUGGCUGGCCUAUCUACUCCUUGAGCUGAUAUGUGCAGCCACUCAUCUAGGCUUCCAUUCACCAUGAACUCAUACACCAGGGCUUUGAAAUCGUUUCCUUGAAAGUCAAUGCUUGAACAAGCAGUCAGUAGCUUGACAAGAUUUCGAUGCCUAAUGCUUUUCAGGGCUUCACAUUCAGAUAUGAAACUUUUAGAAGCUCUUGAAGUUUGAAGAUUGAGUACUUUCACCGCAACAUUUAUUUCUUCAUGCUGAUUGAGAACUCCCUUGUAUACGGACCCGAAACUUCCAGAACCAAUCAGAUUCGAAGCAGAGAACCCAUCAGUUGCUUUGAGGAGAUCUCCAUAGGACAGUUUCAAAAGUGAAACCCCCAGUGAUGAUCCUGAAGUUGACUUGAGCGCUCUAGCCUUUCUUGAUCGAUAAAGAAGCGCAAGUAACAACACCAAGACCAAGCCGACAACCCCACAGGAAACUGAGAUAAUUAAGUUCAUCUUAGGAGAUAACCCGCGCUUAGAUUGCUUGGAGAUGCAUUUAGGCAAUCUUAAGUGAGGUAUACCUCCACAAAGCCGUGUGUUUCCCACAACAGAUAUCGCACUUGCAUUCUUAAAAACUCCUUGGAUUGGUACUGCACCUUCAAAAUCGUUAAAUGAAAGGUUCAAAUUAUGCAAGAAGGGGAAACUCCCCAAGUAGUUGGGAAUUAUGCCAGACAAUUUGUUGUGAGAGAGGUCAAAAUCUUCAAUUCCUCUCAAAGAGCUCAAGGAUUUAGGAAUUGUCCCCUGCAAUAAAUUUUCUCUCAGAGACAGAGUCGUCAAACUUGUGCAACUCCCUAAGCUUUGUGGAAUCUCACCAGAUAACUUGUUUUCAGAAACAUCCAAGAUAACAAGAUGCUGUAAGUUACCUCCUUCCAUGGGAAUGGAUUCAGUAAGUUGGUUUCCAGAUAGAUUCAAGUGAACAGGUAAAUUGAUGACUUGUUUUGGAAUUGGACCGCUAAGAUUGUUGUGGGAAAGAUCCAAAUCUAACAUAAACCUGCAGUCUCCAAGACUUUGUGGUAUGCUUCCAUUUAACUUGUUUGAGUUGAGAUACAAAUUACUUAAUGAAGUGAGAUUCCCUAGAGAUGAUGGAACAUUACCUGACAGUUCAUUAACUUGUAGAUCUAGGCCAUAAAGCUUAUUCAGUUUACAUAUUGAACUCGGUAUAGUGCCUGCCAAUAAAUUUGCAUAAAAGCUUAGUCUCUCCAAGUUGAUAAGAUUUCCAACCCCGAUGGGAAUGCUUCCGCGUAUCUGAUUCUCAUAGAAAUAUAUUAGCCUGAGCUUUGUUGAGAGAUUGCUGACAGAUUCAGGCAUCGCUCCUCCAAAAUUAUUGAAGCCGAUAGAUAAAACUUCUAAAUUGGUGCAAUUAACUAGGGAAGAGAUGAAAUCCAAGUCACCUUCCUCAUUAUUUCCAAGAUUGUUCUUAAAAAGUGAAAACCGAUACAAAUUUGACAGGCGUGCCAGACUAGGCACUUUGCCAGUAAACUUAUUGGAUGAGAUAGAAAAUACUAAAAGGUUUGAGGCAUUGGAGAUUGAAGCUGGUACGGGUCCAGUGAAUUGGUUGGAAUCGAAAAUAAAGGUUUCGAGGUUUGGAAAUAUAGUGUGGCCCAAGCCAGGAGGAAGAGUUCCAUGAAGGUUGUUUUGAAACAUAUAAAUGACUUUAAUUGACGAGAGGUUGUAUAUGGAGGGAGGGAUGGUACCAUUCAAGUAAUUUGAAGCCAAUGAAAAAUGAAUUAAGCUUUUCAACUGGCCAAGCCUAUUUGGAAUACCUCCUUGCAGAUUGUUUCCAAAUACAGAUAGCCACCAAAGAGAAGAAAGAUUCCCAAAAGAAGGUGGGAUUAUCCCAUAAAAAUUGUUAUUGCCAAAAUCAAGUACCUGAAGCUUGGACAAUGAGGCAAUUUCAGUUGGAAGUUCGCCACUAAGAGUGUUGCCAUAUAAGUCAAGGUAUUGGAGGUUAGAGCAAGGUGAUAUGUUGAAUGGAAUAUGACCACCGAAGGAGUUGUUAUGAAGGAAUAGUUCUUCCAAGCGGAACAAACGACCAAUUUCUGGACGGGAUGGUGUGGCUGAAGCUAUUGUUCUGGAGAUAUAAAGCCCUCAGAAAGCUCAAGUUUCCAAUGUGGGGAGAUAGGUGGCCUGCCAGCCUGCUUGAUUGGAGGUCGAGCACUGUAACCCUCUGGUGUCUGCGGCCACAAGUAAUGCCUGACCAAUGACAGAAGUGGAGGGAUUCAUUCCAAGAGCUAAGGAUGCCCAGGGAAUCGGUCACAAUUUCAGCUUUGAAGGCAAGCAAGGAAAGCCUAUCAACCUCAUUUUCCGCUAAACGCGAGGAGGAGGCAAAGCUAAAAAGAAAGAGAAGAAAGAGUGGUUGCAUGAAAAUAAACCAAAUGCUAAUAUGAAUACUUGAGAACUCCAUUUUAGCUAGGCUUCAAAAUAAAGCUCUGGAUAUUUAUAUAUCCUUAGUAACAAAAAAGAGUCAAUUAUAGGUCAAGCAAAUCAAAAUAUGGUGCGGAAAAACCUAAAUCGCUUUGACCGUUUCUGCGUGCAUGCCGUGGUUGAUGGUUUUGGGGCACCUGCAAUAAUUUUUAAAUCAAAAAUGCUACUCUUACCAUAUUUUUCAUAUCAUAUUUGUACCUCCUUUCUAAUAGAGAUGAAUCUAGAUGUACUAAUAGGUUAACCUCUAUUAGAUGGGUGGUACAAAUGUGAUAUGAAAAAUGUGUUAAUUGUGGCAUUACUCUUCUUCAUUAGGUAUUUACAAAGCCAUUUCAAGCUUGCAGAUUAAGUGAAAGGAGAAACUUUUCAAGUUGCCAGAAAGACGGUCUGGUACUCCAAGUGUAAUAACACAAUUUGUUUGAAACUUGGAAAAAAGAAAAUUUAACCAUUAUCUUAUUACACGUGUACCGUGCCGUAUUUCCGACACACUGAAAAAAUUCAUCUAGUAAAAGAACCAAUCUGAAUAAAAAAUAAAUAAAACAGAGAGUUAUCAUAGAAAACAGAAAGUGACUUACACGUUAGUCAUGAAAUGUUCGGCCUAAGUGGAAUGUUAGCUAGUUUUGCACUAGCUAGUUUUCCACCGUAAUGCAAAUGGUAAAUUGGCUAGUUUUCUACUCUCAUAAUUAUUACUCUUGCAAAUUGCGAUGCAUCAUUGUGACGUAGCAAAUACUCUUUGUUUUUUUUAUAUGAAAGUACAAUUUUCAUUAAAGAGACUAGAAAAUGUACGAGAGAACAGAAGGUUUAAAUGAGUGACCCCUGAAAAAAAUUAAAAAAAUUGCCCGGAUUUUCAACCUGGAAUAAAGAGAAAAAAAAUGGGCCACCAACAUCAAAGUACGAACACGCAUUCAAUAGAACUAUCCUCGAUCACUGUCAUCUCGAUAUGUUGACAUGUUGACUAAAUUGUCUCGUCCUAAAAUUUUCUCUCAGUGAGGUUUAAGUAAUCAGGAAUUUAAAAAAUAAUUAUUCCAAAAAUUUCAACUAACGUAAUUAAUUUGGUGAUUAGCAAUAGCAUGCACUGAUACAAACAAAAACUUGAAUUCCAAUCUCAUGAUGAUUUAUCUAAAUCUAAUGAGUAGUUUUCAAUUAAAAAAAUCUAGUAAGUAAUUACAAAUUAUACAAACAAAAAUAUGCGAUCGUGAUUUAUACUACAAAAAUUGAUCAAAAUAAGAUGAUUUCUUCACUCCUAUAAGACAAAAAUACCUGCAUCAAUACUACAUAAGUUCUAUAGUUCCUAUGAAAAACCUGUAUUUAACCAACAUACUCUUUUCAAAUGGAAUUUGGUGUCUGAAAAAUGAGAAAUUCAAAAACUUUGCUGCAAAAAUUAAAAAACAAAACAAAACAAAAACCAAACACUUACUAUGUAUUAUCACUUUAAUUCUAGUUGCCACUUCAAGCUCCCUAGCUUUUGACGCACCACAACAAAAAUGACCACUGUGCACAAUAAAUUAUCUGUGCCCUUUGAGGCCAAAAAGCACCAACAAUUGUGCCCAUAGACCAAUAGCAACAAUGCAACAACUAAAAUAUUGUCUGUGCCCUCUAUGGGCGUCACCAUUUGUCAAAGGGCACAAUAAGGCAUGCUGUGCUGAAAAGUGUAAGCACAAAUAAAGGUCCUUUUGUGCCCAAUUCUGACAAAGUUGUCAAGUGACUGCUACCACCCAUGUUAGCACAUUUAUUGUUAUUGUGCCCAAUAUGUCAACUAUUUAAAAAAAUAUUUAAAAACCCAAAUCACCUACAAAUUGAGAUUUGAGGCUAAACAAAAAAUUAUUUUUUCAUAAAAUUAAAACAGCCCACAACCACAAGCAUCUAUAAUAUUACAAUUUACAAAGAUAUUCACAACCAUUAUAUAUAAAAACAACUAUAAUUUUACAUAUUCUAUCCCCAACUAAAAUAAAACUAAAAUUAUAAAGGUUUAAGUGAAUAUCGGUUCUCUCAAGAAUAAAAACAUCAAAUAUUAAGGUUUUAAGUGAACCUGCACAGUUCUUUUCUCAUCUUCUAGUUCCAAAAUUUUCUUUCCAAAAUGUUGCUUGAUUGCCUCAAUGUCAGACCCUUCAAAAUUUACACAGAGCAACAAGAAAUGAGUAUGUAGUGGCUUCCAAAUUUUCAAAUUAUGAUUCUUUAUCUUUUAUCUCAUGAGCUGUUGUAUAUCCUUCCUCCCACAGAUUAAUUGGUGUAAUUCUGCUAUGUAUACAUGCACUUGUUUGUGAUUCAAACAUAAAGACUUUUGCCUGACACUUCAGUAACAUUCUUAUAUGGAUGGCAAGCAAUCCUCACACAAAUUAGGACAUAAAAAUAGAAUCCAAAGUCCCUAUAAUAUAAUUCUCACUCUUUCAAAUGUAAAGAAUAAAGAAAGAAAGAUGCAGAAUAUCUCAAAAUAUGCCAUUUCCUACAACAUAUAAUAAACCCGAAUUUAAAGAACUUAGGAGAUUAGUUGGUCUGGAGUUUAAUUGAUAGAACACAGAAGUGUAAUGGAAAAAAAAUUAUACACCUUGCGAUGGGCAUCAGAAUUAACUAUAAGAUAUAAUCAAACUUUACCUUAAUCUAAAAGCGCAAAGCUUUAUAUAAUACCCAGGCUUGCAAAGGAAAGUAAUCCCAAACCACGUAAGCACACAUCAAGAAAAACCCAAACUUAGAAAGCUACAAAAAGGUCUACACAUGGACAUGCACAUGGGAAUAAGAAUGAGAGAUUUGGUACAACGUUGUAAAAAACAGUCUUAACAUUACUGGGUAAAAGUUAGCAUACCAUCCAAUGAUGGGCACGGUGCCAACAUGAAAAAGAACUGGCUUCCAUUUGUAUUUGGACCAGCAUUCGCCAUCGAUAAGAUGCCAGCUCCAAUAUGCUUCAACUCUUGUUUUAUCUCGUCCUCAAACUUUCCCCUAAAACCCAUUAUACAAAACCAGUUCUUCACUAUGGUUCUCAAAUCUAAUUAAAAUCGGGGGUAAAAAAAAAAAGGCAAAUUUCAAUACAUUAUGGGAAAUUCAAGGGAAUUUUUUUUCACCCAUAAAUGGAUUCGCCACCCUUUCCUGCCCCAGUGGGAUCACCACCUUGCCCUAUGAAAUCCUACCCCAAUUCCAAUUUAACCGUCAGUAAUAUAUAAUAAUUAUAUACACUACAAAAGCAGAAAAUAUGAAACCUGGAUGAGUAAUAUCCUCUGCGAGCGAGCCCCAUGAAGUUCUUGCAAGUCCUCGGCGAAUGUUUGUAAUAAAGCUACUAUUUUUAACGAUUUGAAAACACAAAUAAUGUCAAAGAUACAAACUUUAUGGAUUGAAUUGUCCGUUUGGUUACUGAGAAAGUGAAAGAAAAUUGAAGGGAAAGUUUGGGAAAACGGAGAAUUUACCUCGAUGGUGAAGAUGCCAAUGGUGGUUUCUAGGGUGGCCUCCGGUGGCCCUCCUUUUUUGCUUGCCCACAUCUUUCUGACUCGAAGAUUCUCCUUCAUCAAUCCGGAUCAAUGUAGCUUGAAGAAGACAAUAGUAGGAAAGAAAAUCAAAUAGAUCUAUAUAUUUUUUGAAAAUCAAAUCAAAUAAGAGAGAAUUAGAGAGAGACCGAAUCUAGGAUUUGGGAAGGUAGAAAAUAAAGAUGGACCGAAUCUGGGAGUUAUGCUUUGGAUUGGUUCAUCAAAAACCACCAGAUCGGGAAAAGGAAGAGAGACGGACCGAAUCUGGGAAGGUAGAGAGAGAAAGGGAGUCGGAGAGAGAGACAGAGGUGAGAGAAAGAGAGUCUGAGGGAGGCAGAGCAGAAGAUGAAAGUAGGGAGAAGGAUAGAUGAGAGAGGGGGAAAGAGAGAUCAUUUUUACCUCUUGCAUUGAGGUCCAAUUCCGGCAGCCUUUGCCGGAAAUUGGCAGGAAAGCCCACGAUCUCCGUUGCUUAGAUCUGAAAUUGAGGAAAUUCAGCUAAGAAUUUGGAGAAACAAACUUGGGAGUUGGAAAGAGGACGACAAGAGGAUUCUGGAGGUAUAAUUAGACGGUCGUUGGUGACGGGUGAACAGAGCCUUUGUUGCGUGAAAGAGGAGGGAGAGAGCGGAUGGGGGAGACAGGAAGAUUGCUGAGGAGGUCCGGAGGACAAGGAGUUGAGUUUAAGAGGGGGGAGAGAGAGGAAAGGCGUGAACUAAUGGGGCGUUUACGUAAGGGUAAUGGAAGUCGAGAAACGGAAUUGAAUUCCGACUACGGAUUACACCGGUGUUUACUAACUUAAGCGGAAUAAACAGUUCAGCGGACCCUACAUAAAAUCGGGAAUUGAAUUCCGAUAUUGUCGGAAUUGGAUUACCUAGAAGAAGGUGGUAUUUGGAUUCCGGGGAGAAGGCUCCAUCCGGAAUCAAAUUUUCCUUCCCAAAUGGCCUGCUCUCCGCCAUCCUCUCCAGCAGCUCUCUGCUGCUCCGCCACCUCCUCUCGUUCCACCACCUCCAAAUCCUCCAUGUCCUCCUCCAUAGGAUUCGGCAAAUCAUCACAAGAGCAUACAAAGGACUCGCUAUCAAUCACAAUGCCUAGAUCCCUCUCUGCCUCCGCAUGCAUUGCCGUGUCGAACGGUUUUGAUUUGGGGCUUGCCUGCUAUUCAACCCAACAAACUCAUUGCUCUCUGUGCUUCAGAUUAUUGUAUUCCUACACAGGCAGCCUUACUUGACUUCCCCAUUUAUAUUCCCCUCCUCCCCACCAUUCAGCAUACCAUCACCAUGAUUACAUCAAAUUUUCUAUCUCAAUUGGUUUCAUCGACAAUUUUCAUCACAAAGAUAUCCGAUAUGGGAGCUGAAAAGUUGAAUUUCGCAGACAUGCAACCUUUUGAGCCAGUUCUUGAAGGAGAAGAGAACCCUCCAAGUCGUCCUCCCAUAACCAAGAACUUGCUGACGACCAUGGAGGCUGCUGCUUCGAACCCAGUUGAUCAGACGGCUCAGACUCUGUCGUCAAAACCCAGCAUUGAUUUGCUUCCGUAGUUUACCAAAAACCCGAAGCGUCUUUGGGAGAUCAGCAGCCUGGAUCUGCUGCCCGGAUGACCAUUUUCAUGGUGGGCAGGUGCCGGUUUUCAAUGAUCUACAAGCUGAGAAGGCGAAGGAAAUCAUGGGUUUGGCUACAACUGGAAGCUCCAAGAUUUUUGCUGGAUUUGUGAAGAAAUUGGGUUUUGAGAAUCAGUCAAAUGUUGUUGCUGAAAAUAAUUCUCAGGAAAUUAAAGCGCCCCAGUACAGAAGACCUUCAACAGAAUAAGGACAUUUUAGUAAUUAUAGUGAUUUUUAUUCCGAUUCACGUGAAUUAGUAAACCACUUAUAUGAAUUUCAUUUCAUUUUUACUCCGAUUUCAGAACAUUUAAGUAAACAGUUUUAACAGGAAUCCGAUUCUGACUCCUCCUCAAUCCAAUUCCUCUUCAAUUCAAUUCAUCUAUUUUGAUUACGGUUACGUAAACGCGCUAUAAAUGUAAAGGAAUUGAGAAUGGGAAAAAGUAAAACCAAAGGACACGAAAGCCUACUUUUAAUUUAAAUAUAUUACAUUGGAGAGCACGAAAACUUUUAUUGUGCUUUAGUAAAUUAAUAAACAAAUCUCAUUUCUGACAUUUAAGGGUGACACAUGCAAGUAGGCACAAAUACACUUCAUUUUUGGCACACGCCGGUGUUCCUUUUGCUUAGAGGGCACAUAUAAAAUAGUUUUGUGUUCAAUGAUACUCAAAACGCACAGAUAUGUAUUGGUGCUCAAUGAAAAUGAAAAGGACACAGAUCAAUUGUGUUCUUAGCCCACUUUUCUUGUAGUGACGGAUCAUAAUCAUACUCAUAAAGCCCUGACCAUGAAACCUAAGUCAUUACUUUGACAAAUAAAUAUAAGGGAGACUUUGGAUGAGGUCCUUAGCUAUGAAUAUUGUUUGAUUGAAACUUUGUUGGUUUUUAAUUUUUUAUCGAGGUCCUUAAAAUCAAUGUGAUAAUUUAUUUCUAUGUACGUUACUAUAUUUUUUAAAUUACAAAUUAGAAAUUUUAGUUAUUUAUAUAAAUGAGACUAGCAUUUGCCUAUGAACACAUUUUUUUAGAAAAUGAGAAAGAGAGAGGGAGAGAGUAGGGGUGGGUUCGAUUUAAAUCGGUUCGGUUUUUUGCCAAAACCAAAACCAAACCGAAAUUUCGGUUCGGUUCAAUUUUUUUUCGGUUUUUUUCGGUUCGGUUUCGGUUUUUUGUUUUUGUUUUUUUCAAAAAAUGAAAAACAUUGAAAUUUUAAAUUUUAACAUAUCCAACACAAUCAUAACAUAAGCAUUUUAACUAGAAUCAAAGACAAUGAAAAUAAACAUUUAAAAUUGAACUAAAAUCAUCAAUCAAGUCUUCCAAAGUCCAAACUAACAACCUCACAACACAAAAAUUGUACAAAUGACUUAAAAAAGUUAAAUUGUAUGAUGUUGUUCAAAGAUCAGGGUUGUUUGCUUGUAACUGCAUGUUGACAACUUGAUUAGUAAAAGUAAUACAUGGGUGGAUUUAUUUAGUGUGUGUUGGAUUUUUUUUUCAUCACAAAUUACCCAAGUAAUCUACCCGAAAUAAAUUUUUAUGGAUUAUGUUACAUGUUAUAUGAGAGUAGAUUUGGAAAAGAAAGCUGGGGUAGAAGUAGACAGUGCUUUGGAGAUGGAUGUAGGUACUUCAGGAGGAUGUUUGGUUCCGGAACCUUAUAUGGGGGAGAAAUAAUAGGUUAGGGUUUAGAGUUUUUAUAGGCCUUUUUUUAAUAUUUUGAGCUUAAAGUUUGGCAACACAUUGGGUUUAGCACAUUUUAACUUACAAAUUAGGUUUAGAAAAUAAUACUCAAAACAAAUAAUUAAAUUAAAAAAUUAAUUUAAUUAAUUCGGUUCGGUUCGGUUUCUAGAUCACUAAAAGCGAACCGAACCAAAAGAAUUCGGUUCGGUUUUUUCGUUCGGUUCGGUUUUUUUGGUUUCGAUUCAGUUUGGUUUUCGGUUUUUUUCGGUUUUCGGUUUUUUAAACCCACCCAUAGGAGAGAGGGAGUGUGGGAGGUUGUUGUUGUUUUUUUUUUUUAAUAUGGGAGGUAUUUUAACAUCACAUGUAGGUGAGGUUUUAAUUAAAAACAAUAAAAUUUGAACUUGUAAAAUUACAUUAUUGCCCAUCAUUUUUUUGUGUGAUAUUAUACUAAUUUGUCUUUUCACCCUCUUUUGGUUGACAAAGAGAGUUUUAUUAAUUAGUAGAGAUUUUAAAUAAAAAACCAUAAUUUGUGGGAUUGAAAAUAUUAAAAUAUAAAUAUACUAUUGUGUGUGUGUAUAAACAUGAGUACAUUCAUCAAAAUUAACCAAAAAAAUUAUUGUAUCAAAACAUGGGUACAUUCUUCAAAAUCACAAAAAAAAAAGAAAAAAAUAAGAUAUUAGGCUUAAUAACAUUAGUAAAUUUCUUCGAUUAAACUUGACACAGAUACAUUUUAAAAUCAAAGAAAAAAUAAUGUACCCAUAUAAGUUUAAAAAUGGAUUAAAAAAAUUGAAUAGAUUUUAUACCAAAAAAAAGGGACAUUUUACAUAUAACAAAUUGGUAUAUAUAAGAAUGAGUACAUUUUAAGAUUAAAAAGUUUUACAUGAAUGGGUACAUAUAAUUAGCAUGGGUACAUUUAGCAAAAUAAAAAGUACAAAUAAAAAAAAUAUAUGGGUACAAAUACAAAUAAACUUUAAAAAUAUGGGCACAAAAAGAAAUUAAUAUAUGGGUACAAAUUAAAACUGAAAAGAAAAUUGGUUCAAAUUAAAAAAGAAAUACUAAUUGAAAUGGGUACAAACUAAAACUAAAAAUAUAUGAUAAAAAAUUUAGUCAUAAAUAUAAAUAUACUAAUUGUAACAUUUUUAACAUUAAAUGAAUAUAUUUAGAAAUAAAAAAUAUUUUAUUAUUGAAAUAAUUAAUGAUUUUAUUAAUAUCCAAUGAUCUUAAUUAAAAAUUGAAAAUGAAUAGGAUUUUAAUCAAUGAAAUAGCAAAAGGAAAGAUGAGAACCUUAUUUCUCCUAAAUAUAAUUAACAACAAAAACAACUAAAAUUUUCAAAUGGAUUAUGCCAAAAAUUACUAGCCGAAUUACUGAACACCACGAUAUCGAGUCGGAAAACUGAUUUGCGACUCUCCAACGAAGAUUCAAGAAGGCCAAUGUGUCGAGGAAUAAGGUGCAGUGAUAGUAUUAUCCUUAUCGAAAACAAUUAUACAACACAAAUGUAUGUGUUGCACUUGACAAGCAUUGUAAACUUGUGAAGCAUAGCUUUGCAAGACACGUUUUUAGAAGUCGAGCCUAUGCAUAUGAACAUAAAAUGUUAAAUACAUUUUUCUACCAGUGUCUUAGGCAAAAUUUAGAUACAAAUUGAGAUCUCUAUAAUUGACAGAGGCUUGAAGCUUGUGAAAGUUACAUUUUUCAUUGAUUGAAUAUCAUAAACCACAAUUUUAUUCAAUUAACCAAACCCAAAUCAAAAGAACCAAAUUUUAGCCAACAACUAAUCAACAUGACAUCGCAGAAACCCCAAAAGUUGCACCAAUUCCACACUAAACACACAGUGCUUUGGAACUGUGUAAAUCAUUUAAAAUCAGAAAAAGUCCCAAUCUUUUUUUUUAACUCACAAAAUUUAAACAAAAUGUAAUCCCUAACAAAGAUUUUGGAGAAUAGAAGGGCCAAUUCCACCCAAUAUAAAUUACGAUAAUUACAAAAUAAUUCAAAUGCAGGCAAUUUGAUCUAAAUUUGCAGAGCAAAAAACCCUAAAAACAACAUAAAGAAAAACCCAAAAUAUAAUGAAGAAUAAUAAUCACUAAUCACAUAACCAAAAUUAAUGAAAAUAAAAAAACCAAUAUGCAUGAAAUACCGAAAUAAAUAAUCAGUGAGGGGGAAGAAAUUGGUCCCAUGUUGGAGCUUUUUCAUUCCAAUCCAAACAAAGGUGAGAGUAGAUAUUUUUAGCAUUUUCCCUUGUCUACGUUUCUGUUUGCUUUUGUAGUUUCUUCCUUCGAUUGAAUAUUUAUAGAAGAAUGAAGUGUCAAUCUUUGUAAUGUUAUUCAUCUCAAUUUUCCUUUGGAUUAUAUGUGCAUUGUAAUUAAUUUUCCACACCUUUGCAUCAUUAAGGGUGUUGUCCGUGUUCAAAUUACGUUUUUAAGGUUAUCAUCGAUUGUGUCAGUGAAUCGAGAGAUCUUGUGUUUUUAGAAAGUGCAACAAGCAUAUUUGUAAGAUUUACGAAAUAUAAAUUCUUUUGGUGCAUAUUAGAAAAAUUAAGUUUCUUUUGUCAUGGGAAGAUUGACAAACCUAAUACCAAUUGCCAAUCAGUUAGUGGAAAGCUAAUUGAAAUUCAUUUAGUGCAUAUUAGAAAAAAUAGGGUUUAAGAUAUAUAAAACUUUCUUUCCUUGUAUUUUUAUUCUUCUUAUUAUGGUCUGCAAACUAUCAAUUAAUUGUACUAAUAAUAUGGGCAGUAUUAAAUUCAUUUUUCAGUUUGUAUAAAUUAAGGGUAUUUGAGAGAUUUUUAAUAUAUUUGAAAGUUUUUAUAGAAAUCGACAUUUUUGAAAUUAAGGACUAAUAUUUGACUAUAUUUGAUAAAUACUGGCGUAAACAUAAGCAUGGUAAUGUUGUGUCACUUAAUACUACAAUUUAGUGAUAGUCACUUGUCAGAUAAAGAUCUUAUGUUUAAAUCCUAGAAGUGGUGAGUUCACAGCCAAUUUAUUUUUUAGCACCCUUUAUAUAAAUAUAUCUGUUUGGACCCGAUUUUACAUCAUCGGCCCAAGCGAUCGACACCGUUGAGUGGACAUGAUUCUCGACCGCCAGAUGAGAAAGUGGAGAUAAUUUGAUUAUUAAAGGAUAACAUUAUAAUUAUCUUUUAAUAUGAAUUAUCUCAGUAUUUUUAAACCAGAUAAAUAGAAUGCGAUUCAUAUCCCAAAUAAGCGGUACAAUUCGAAUUGAUUUGGGAUGUCUGAUAGCACUUGGAAGUAAAAUGAAUUUAAAAUUUGUUUGAUCAGAAUGAUGAUGGCUAUUGUGGAUGAGGUGAGGAUGAGAUACGAGACCUAAGGGGGUGUUGUCAGAUGAAGUAAAUUGAUGAUGGACAUGGCCUAUAUGCCGUGUCAAAUGCUAUCAGCCAUAUAUAUAUAUAUAUAAUUGGCGACAUUAGGUCUGCCAACUCAUUGGAAAGGUGCAAACUUUGCUUUAUAUAUAUAUAUAUAUGUAUAUAUUGGGUGGUUGAUUAGAUGGACGUUAUCCAGGCAUGCAGAUUAUCUUGGAUUCGAUGAAGAUGAGUUUUAAUAGUUUGGGAGUCUUUCUCAGCUUAUCAACCAGUGCGUAUUCGUCACUAUAAAUACAGAGUCGCAUACAACGUUCAAAGGACCUCCAAUUCAACACACAAAACUGCCCUGCGCAAACUCUCUCAACAACUUUGAGAUUUUUUAUUUUCUCUUUUCGCUGACACAUCUUCCGUUGGCAUCAACAACACUGUGAAAGCAACUGGUGAUAUCUUAAGUCGGCAUAGAUAGCUCUGUCACCGUAGAAUCAGCCGGUCUCGUAGCAUCUUCCGUUGGCAUCAACAGCACUGCGGCGAUGACAGUUGAUUACCUAUCCAAGUCUCGGUCAAGAAGGAUUUCUGAAUCCUUAUUAGUCGAGGUCAUCUCAUCAGCCUUCUCGGCAAAGUGAGGUGUUACAGUUAUUACAUUCGGCACAUUGAAAGCCGAAUUUGAUAUUGAACUUCGUAAGAAUAGUAACCUUGUCUUCAGGUUCGAGAGCCCAAGAGGCCGAGACGUGUUCCUUUCUCGGCCGCAAUCGCAAGACGCAGAAGUCAGCCGCGCACCCAACGCAACAUCAACAAAAUUUACUCCUCAGUCGAGCUCGGCCGACGAGUUGGCACGCACCACAUUUACCGAAGGACGUAGUUAGCUUAUAGAUUACUCGACCUGCACACCACGUAGGCUUGGUAGUUUUUAGGAUCAACAAUAUCGUUGUAUAAAAAAGAACAUAGUAACGAUUGUUUAGUAACGGUAAGCAUGGUAAAAUAAAGAAAAUUGGGUUGCACCAAAUGAAAGUCCAGUGAGUCGGCCUAGCCCAACAUAAAGCGUGCCGAUAUUUUUCCAGCGCGACUUUUGCCUUUGGGAGCAUUUCGAUCAGCAGUACACUUGACUUAAUCAUGGCCUCAUUCACUCAGAGCCCCAAUCCGACUCAGUCCCGACCACCGGGUCAACUCGCCCGUUCGACGGCGACGGUCACUUGGGCUACGACCCCCAACUUUCCUCCCAGCGGUUCGACUCCUUUGUCGACUCCGAGUCGCUCAAGGACUCCGCCACCGAUUCCCCAAUCUUCCACGGCUCCGCCGUAGACGACGCUUUCGCCACUCAGCCGGCGUCGGAGGCCUUCUCUCCUCCGUCUAUCUACGUCGAGUCGAAUGGACAGGGCUUUGAUGGAGGGUUUGGCGGGUCCGACGAUCCGAUUUUGCCGCCUCCAUCGGAGAUGCUGCCUGAGGAGGGCUUGGCUCUCAAAGAAUGGAGGAGGUAGGGUUUUGAAUUCCGAUUGUUUUUCGAUAGAACCGAUAGUGUAUAGCAAUUAAAUUUUGACUCUUGGGUGCAAUUUAGUUGAAGGUUGUUGGUUUUGAUUUGGUUUGAUCUUUCUGUUGCUGAGAAACUGAGUGGAAGUUGUUUUGAUUUCGGUAGUUUUCAGGAAUUUGAUAUCAAAUUGUUAAAUUGAUUGUUUAUCUAAAAGACAAAAACUUGUUAAUUGCUGCAGUGGGAAUUACAUAUCGAAAUGAGCGUAAGCUUGGGCCAUGAAUGUCCAUUAUUCAGUUUCAUUUCCAAAAGGAUUUGCAGAAUUGGUAGGUGAAAAACAGUUCACUAAAUUACAUGGAGGUAUACAGACUAUAACAGAUCAUAAAAUACAACACAACAUUCUCGACAGUUUUAGGUCUUGACCGUAUGGUCCCUAGGCGUCCUGUUUCCAGUCAGCGCAUCCCGUAUUUAACAUAAUUCAGCUACUACAUUGCUCAUGUCCAUUCGCUCUCUUGGCAUUACUGCAGAACAAGCAACUCCUAUUCUUGCAGCGCAAAUCAAUCAUACCUCAACUCUGUCUUUCAUCAUCUAGGGCACGGUAUGCUGCAUUGUCUGUGGCAUUAGUACUAGUGUUACUUUCUUCUCUUUGAAGAAGCAGUGGAUUACAUACUUCCUCCACACAUUUGGGCAAAGCCAUCAUGACAAAGUUGUGUAGGCUCAGACCAUCUUUAAACAUGUCAUCCGUCAGCCUCUUGCCGGUUAGCAUCUCAAAUAGCAGAAUUCCCGUAGCUAUAGACAUCACCAUUAGCUGACACCUCACUUUACAUUCCAUACUCUAUAAUUUAUUUUUCACAAAAAUGAAAAGCCAUGUUCUUUAAGUGUAACUUCAAAAAAUUAAUGAAACCUUUUAUUCCGUUUGAAGAGCUUUCAGGUGAAGGAAGUAUGGAAUAAGCAUCUGACAAAUACCUUGCUGAACCGAAAUCACCAAAACAGGUAGUCGGGCCAUCAUCCAAGAGAAUGUUAAUCGGUUUUAAAUCACAAUGAACUAUUGGCUUGUGAGAGCGAUUGUGCAAAUAAUCCAGAGCAGACCCUAGGUCAAUGGCAAUGUUUCCUCUCUGAAUAAGAUCCGAAUGCUUCUGCAGAUUGGUUGGCAUGUUUACUCUUUGAACUGACCUAUUCAGCCAUUCUUCUAGGCUUCCUUUCACCUUGAACCAGUUAACCAAAUCUUUGAACUCGUUUCCUUGAGAAUCGAUGCUUGAACAAGCAGUUGGUAGUUUGACAAGAUUUGGGUGCCUAAUUCUUUUCAAGGCUUCAGAUUCAGCUACGAAACUUCUAGAAGCCUGUGAAUUUUGAAGAUCGAGUACUUUCACUGCAGCAAUUCUUUCCUAUGAUGAUUGAGAAUUGCCUUGUAUCCAGAAUCAAAACUUCCACCACCCAAUCAAAUUUGCAGCGCAGAACCCAUCUGUUGCUUUAUGGAGAUCUCCAAACGACAAUUUCAAGAGUGAAACCCUUAGAUAUGAUCCUCAAGUUGACACAAGUUACAACACUACGAUCGAUCCAACAACCCCACAAGCAAUUGAGAGAAUGUUUUCAGCCUAAGAAGUAGUCCUUUCUUAGAAAAAGCAUAAGGGCAUCUUAAAUUAGGUGUACCGCCAUAAAGCCGUGUGUUUCCCAUGGUAGAAAUUGCAUUUGUGUUUUCUAAAAUUCCUCCCUUGCUAAAUGAGAGGUUCAAAUUCUGCAACUUGAAACGCUCCAAAUAGUUUGGAAUUCUGCCGGAAAGGUUGCUAUGAGAAAGAUCGAAAUAUUCAAUCCUUCUCGAAGAACUCAAAGAUUCAGGAAUUAUCCCAUCCAAUAAGUUACCUCUCAGAGACAGAGUCCUCAAACUCAUGCAACUCCCAAAUAGUUUUGGAAAUGAAGUGUUGUCCAAGCCAGGAGGAGUUCCGUAACCGAAAAGUAUUCUAUUGAAGAGAGGUUGUAUGGAAAGAAAUAAGAUAACUUUAACGAAACUCUACUGUUUAUUUUAACGAAAAACCACAUUUUUAUACUAAAAAAUCAAUCCUGAUACUAUUCACUUUACCCUUAUUUUGUCCUUAUUGUUAAAACUAAAAAAUUUUAAGCUAUUUUUAUUAGUUUUCCUAAGAAAUAAUUUGAACCCAUGGAAAGAAAUAAUAAACUUUUCAACCAGCUAGUUUUCUACCGUAAUGCAAAUGGUAAUUUGGCUAGUUUUCUACCGUAAUGCAAAUGGUAAUUUGUCGUCAUGGUUAAGAUUAUUGUUUCAAUCGGGUUGUGUUUUUGUCAUAAGGAGGAUUUCCGCAGGGUGAGAGAGGAAUUGGCUGAAACUCGUAAACCAAUCAUCGGUGGAAUUGAAUGGUAGGAGCAAAAUAUUUUUCAUUAGAUAAGGAGUGAGCUAUGUUGAAUGCUAUCAGUUCUCAUAUGCAGCCUUUACAUGAUAACAUAAAUAUUGACGAGAAUUGCACGUCUAUUGCAUAAAAUCAUUUAUUUUCAUCCUAUUUUGCGUGUUUAGGGAACUUGAAUGGUCAAUAUAUACCAUCCUAUGCAUUGGCGUUGAACCGUACGCAUGCGUCCCUAAUUCGCCGCCGGCGGACGUUAGCCUUUUCUCCUACGCCCUUCAGUACUCAUGUGACUGUGACUCAAGUCUAACAUUUGUUUUCUUAUCCGUCAAUAUUAGAUGUGAAUAUUAGAACAAUGGCAAUAGAACUGCCAAUCCAAAUUCACCUAUUUGCUCGUCAUGUUUAAGUAGUAGUAAUUAAACUCAAAAGAUGCUCAAGUGCUUGAAUUAUGAACAAUGUUCCAUUAGAGGAUCAAGCAUUGUAACUUAAUGCCGCCUCAUUGGGUUGUCAGCUUUUGUAUGGAUGCAAUUACUAGAAAUUAUGCUUUCAUUGCUACGAACAGUUUUGUUUUCAUUGAUGUCUGGAAAGAUUUUGGGAAAACAGGAAGAAUAGUGUAAGAAUGUAGGUUGGUGUAUGUUUAAAUUAGUUCUCCCAAUUUUCUUUAAUUUAUUUUUUGUUUAUUUUGUUUACAUUGCUUAGCUUAAUUAUAAAUUAGGUGUGGUUGAAAAUUUGAAGUUUUCUUCAUGCAUGUGUUUUUCUUUAUUCCUAGCUAUCUAUCUUUUGUCUGAGGUUUCAAUUACUUUCAAGAGAUAUUUUAACGGACUAGGAACACCUUUUUGGCAACGAUGAAGAAAGAAGAGUGAAGUCCAGAGGAACAAUCUGAAAAGUUGGAUCACAAAAAGCAAAGAUAUUUUGGUGUGUAUUACAUCUAUAUGAACAACUUACUCUCCAACAUUUUUGCUAAGUAGUGUAUUCUACAAACACCUAUCUUUUAUUCCUUACUGAACAUAAGGAUGUAAAUAGAGUUUGAUAUGGAUGUAAAUGGAUUUUAACAUUUUCUUCACGUUUAACACAAUUAAAAAAUUAAAAACAUGCAGUAUCGUGUGGGUUCAAUUGCUAAUAUAUACUACAGUAACUAGUGUGUAAACAAUCAAUGUAAACAACAAAGAAAGUAAGAAAGACUGGCGUUAACCAAGAAAAAAAAAAGGGUAAGAAAGACUGACAAAUUUGAAGAUUGGACAAACACAAACUUAGUAACGCAAAAUAUUAAACCGACAGAACACUAAACUUAAAUAGACAUCCAAGCAAGCACAAAGAUGAUCUUACAAAGAUCAUUCACAAAUCAUAGAAUAAAAGCAACUGCAAAAAUAUUAAAACCGCCGGACCACUCCACGCAAACUACCGUCCAAGUUUCAUGGCUGUUGAAAUGAUGAUGACAGGCUAUUAUUUCUCACUACUUAUGCCUUGAAGUGAGGGCAAACAAACGAUCUCUUAAAGAUUAGUAAGAGAUGAAAGUCACUGUUAGAUGACACAAGGAUUUGGGAAUUAAUAGCCAUCACAACCUUGUCAGUCAAUAGAAAAAAAAUUGGAUGACCGCGGCUUUUGGCUUUGAUUUGUCAAACUAUACAGAAAAUUGGAUGAACGCGGCUUUUGGCUUUGAUUUGUCAAACUAUACCGAUAUCCACAUAAAUUUCUCUAAGAAUUUGGUUGAUAUUUUCCUACAGACAAAUCUGGAUAUGCCUGGUCCCACACCUUGGAGACAAAUCUAGCUAAAUUUCCUGGAAAUGGAUUUGAAAUCUAAAAUAAAGUUUUUCUUUUGAAAAGCCAUACUGAAAAAUGUAUUACUACUAACUAUAUAGAUUUAAGCCAAAAAAAAAAAAAAGUUGAUCUCAUGAAAAUAAACCAAAUGCUAAUAUGAAUGCUUGAGAACUCCAUUUUAGCUAGGCUACCAAAUAAAACACUGGAUAUUUCUGUAACAGUAAGUAUAUCAUUGCUCUUCUUAAUUAGCUCUUUAAAAAGCCAUGUCGAGCUUACAGAUGUAGUGAAAGAAAACUGAAAAGGAAAAAAAAAACAGAUAGACUUAUUAUAGAUAGCAGAAUGUGACUUAGACGUUAUUUAUUAAAUGUUCGUAUUGGGAAGAACAAAUACGAUUGGAAAAAUGUGGUAAGUGUAGCAUCAUCCGGAAAAAAAUGUAAAACGUAAAGACUCGCUAAAUAGUUUUUUCUAGCGUAGAGGAAGGUUCAUGCAAAUGGUACAUUGGCAAGUUUCUCCUGCAGUUGCCUUCAUAUGAGUACUCUCAUAGUUAGUACUCUUGCAAAUUGCAAUGCAUUAUGCGACGUUGCAAAUACGCUUGUUAAAUCGAUGUCAUCUCCGUACGUCGGCAUGUUGUUGACUAGAUUGUCCCGUCUAUGACUCCAUGUCGUCUCAUGACAUUAACAAGAAAUAAAUAAAUCCUUAAUAAUCAUGAUGUUAUUGUUGAUAAUGAUGCACAUAUUUUCCUAGUUUCACGCACGCUCCGAUUUAAUCAUGUUUCUUGUUUUCAAUUUGUUGGUCAUAAUAAAGAGAAAUGUGUGGGAAGCUGAUACAGGUGUACGAAAAUCACUUCCCUAAUUGAUAUUGUUUAUUUGUUAUUGGAAUAGUGCUAUUUGAGAACAUCACUACCAUAAAAGUGAUAUUUGAUAACUUUUUUAUCUGGAUGUUUGUUUACAAAAUGAUACAUUUACGGAGGUGGAGAAAUAAAUCUACCUGGGGUAGUAUAGCCUAUGGAGCCAUUUAUGACAAUGGAAUUGUUUUCAUGCAAGGGAGAUGGGCAAAAAGCAUCCCAGAGGUACCGAGAAGUAUCCCGGUACCUCUGGAAUGCUUAUUGCCAAUCAUAAGGUGCCACGUAGAUUAACUAUAAGAUCUAUUUUUUUUUUUAAGAUUUAAAACUAAAAGUAAAAUAAGAACUAAAAACCAAAACUAAAAGAAAAAAAGUCAUCAUCCUCUUCAUCAGGGUAAGCUAAAAAAGAAAAGGAAUGCACCAUGACACCAUUAAAAUACUUGGCCUCCUGAAAUCACUCUUCAUUCUCUCUAGUUGGUUAUUUUCUUCAAAUUUAAAUUAAAUUUGGAUUUGAUUUUAUCGAAUUUAGAUUGAAUUUUUUUCCAGUUGGGGUUGUUGGAUGCAACAAAAAUGUCAGCACGGAAUGCUCGUCCGUUGGUUCACUCUUAAAAAAAUAGUUCCCCAUAGUUAAUUCAUGUGGAGUCAUAUGAUUGCAUUAGUAGGACCACAUCAGCACACAAACAAAAAAUAUUGAUGAGAUUUUAACGAAAUGACUAAGUUGAUGUGCAAUAAUGAAAGUCAAGGACCAAAUUUAUUGAUUUUUGAAACUCAAUGACCAAAAUGAGGAGUUGGAUCAAUGUCAAUGACCAUUUGCGAUAAAACCCUUAUUUUGUGGAAUCCACAUGUCAUCAUUUCAUUGGAUGUGUGGGUCCCACAUACAAACUAACAGAAUAAUUGACGAAAUUUUAACAGAAUGACCAAAUUGACGUGGGAUAGUAAAUGUCACAGAAUGACCAAAUUGAUGUAGGAUAGUGAAUGUCAGGGAUGACAUUGAUUGAUUUUGAACGUGAGAGACCAAAAUGAUGAGUUUGAUCAAUCUCAUGGAUCAUUUGUGAUAAAAACCGAAUUAAAAUUGCAUAAUUAAUAAGAACAAGACCAAACUUAAAUUGACAAAUUCCAAAUUUCUAAACAAACAUAAAGAUGAUCAUACAAAUUAAGAUCAUUUACAAAACAUACAAAAUGAAAUUGCAAAACGGGAAAAUCCACCUCGUCAUCAUUCAGAAGAUCACCAUGCAAAGUUCAAGCACUGUCAUGGGAUUUUAUUUAACGAUAAUAGGGCAUUAUUACUCACUACUUGGAUCGUCAUCACGGAUACUCUCUAGGCAUCCUAGUUCCAGUUAGCACAUCCCUUAUUAGACUCAAUUCAGCUACCACAUUGCUCAUGUCUUUUCGCUCUCUUGACAUCGCUACAGAACAAGCAACUCCUACUCUUGCAAUGGAAGUCAAGCACUCCACAACCCUUUUUAUUCGAUCAUUUGGGGAAUGAUUCCCUCUAUUACUUCUGGGAUUAGUACUGCUGUUGCUUUCUUCUAUUUGAACAAGUAGUGGAUCACAUAUUUCUUCCACACGUUCUGGUAGAGCCAUCAUAACAAAAUUGUGCAGGUCCAUACCACCUUUAAACAUGUCAUCUGUUGGCCUUUUGCCAGUUAACAUCUCCAACAACAGUAUUCCGUAGCUAUACACGUCGCCAUAUGUUGACACCUCGCCUCCCAUUCCAUACUCUUAAGUUAUAUGCACAAAAACAUAGCUUUGUUCUUAUGUGUGACUUCAAAAAACUCAUGCUAUAUAAAAACCCAUACUGGAAGCACAAAUAAAAUAUAUACAAAAGAAAAUUUACCUGGUGGAGUAUAGCCUAUGGUGCCUUUUAUGACAUUGGAACUGCUAUUGUGCAAAUGAGAUGGGCAAGAAUCAUCCCUGAGGUACCUUGCUAAACCGAAAUCACCAACACAAGCAGUCAUGUCACUGUCUAACAAAAUGUUGCUGGGCUUUAUAUCACAAUGAACUAUUGGCAUGUGGGAGCGGUUGUGCAAAUAAUCCAGAGCACACGCUACAUCGAUGGCAAUGUUAACUCUUUGAGUGAGAUUCAGAUUCUUUGGAAAAUUGGCUAGCCUAUCUACUCCUUGAGCUGAUAUGUGUAGCCACUCAUCUAGGCUUCCAUUCACCAUGAACUCAUACACCAGGGCUUUGAAAUUGUUUCCUUGAAAAUCAAUGCUUGAACAAGCAGUCAGUAGCUUUUCAAGGCUUCACAUUCAGAUAUGAAACUUUUAGAAGCUCUUGAAGUUUGAAGAUUCAAUACUUUCACCGCAACAUUUCUUUCUUCAUGUUGAUUAAGAACUCCCUUGUACACCAACCCGAAACUUCCAGCACCAAUUAGAUUCGAAGCAGAGAAACCAUCAGUUGCUUUGAGGAGAUCUCCAUAGGACAGUUUCAAGAGUGAAACCCCCAGUGAUGAUCCUGCAGUUGACUUAAGCGCUCUAGCCUUUCUUGAUCGAUAAAGAAGCGCAAGUAACGCACCAAGACCAAGCCGACAACCCCACAUGAAACUGAGAUAAUUAAGUUCAGCUUAGGAGAUAACGCUCGCUUGGAUUGCGUAGAGAUGCAUUUAGGCAAUCUUAAGUGAGGUAUACCUCCACAAAGCCGUGUGUUUCCCACAACAUAUACCGCACUUGCAUUCUUAAAAACUCCUUGGUUUGGUACUGCACCUUCAAAAUCGUUAAAUGAAAGGUUCAAAUUUUGCAAGAAGGGGAAACUCCCCAAGUAGUUGGGAAUUAUGCCAAUCAAGUUGUUGCGAGAGAGGUCAAAAUCUUCAAUUCCUCUCAAAGAGCUCAAGGAUUUAUGAAUUGUCCCCUGCAAUAAAUUUUCUCUCAGAGACAGAGUCAUCAAACUUGUGCAACUCCCUAAGCUUUGUGGAAUCUCACCAGAUAACUUGUUUUCAGAAACAUCCAAGAAAACAAGAUGCUCUAAGUUACCUACUUCCAAGGGAAUGGAUUGAGUAAGUUGGUUUCCAGAUAGAUUCAAGUAAACAGGUAAACUGAUGACUUGCUUUGGAAUUGGACCGCUAAGAUUGUUGUGGGAAAGAUCCAACUCUAACAUAAACAUACAGUCUCCGAGACUUUGUGGUAUGCUUCCAUUUAAUUUGUUUGAGUUGAGAGUCAAUCUGCUUAAUGAAGUUAGAUUUCCUAGAGAUGAUGGAACAUCACCUGACAAUUCAUUGGAAUCUAGAUAUAGGUCGUAAAGCUUAUUCAGUUUACCUAUUGAACUCGGUAUAGUGCCUGCCAAUAAAUUCGCAAAAAAGCCUAGUCUCUCCACGUUGAUAAGAUUUCCAACCCCGAUGGGAAUGUUUCCGCAUAUCUGAUUCUCAUGAAAAGAUAUUUCCGUGAGCUUUGUUGAGAGAUUGCUGAUAGAUUCAGGCAGCACUCCUCCAAAAUUAUUGAGGCCGACAGAUAAAACUUCUAAAUUGGUGCAAUUAACAAGAGAAGAGAUGAAAUCUAAGUCACCUACCUCAUUAUUUCCAAGAUUGUUUUGAUCAAGUUCAAGCAAAUCCAAAUUUGACAGACGUGCCAGACUAGGCACUUUCCCAGUAAACUUAUUGCCUGCGAUAGAAAAUAGUGAAAGGUUUGAGGCAUUGGAGAUUGAAGCUGGUACUGGUCCAGUGAAUUGGUUGGUAUGGAAACCAAACGUUUCGAGGUUUGGAAAUAUAGUGUGGCCCAAGCCAGGAAGAAGAGUUCCAUGAAGGUUGUUUUGAAACAUAUAAAUCUCUUUAAUUGACGAGAGGUUGUAUAUAGAGAGAGGGAUGGUACCAUUCAAAUAAUUUGAAGCCAAUGAAAAAAUCAUUAAGCUUCUCAACUGGCCAAACCUUUUUGGAAUACCUCCAUGCAGAUUGUUUUCAGAUGCAUAUAGCACUUGAAGAGAAGAAAAAUUCCCAAAAGAAGGUGGGAUUUUCCCAUAAAAAUUGUUCCUGCCAAAAUCAAGUUCCUGAAGCUUGGACAAUGAUGUAAUUUCAGUUGGAAGUUCGCCACUAAGAGUGUUGCGAAAUAAGUAAAGGUAUUGGAGGUUAGAGCAACGUGAUAUGUUGAAUGGGAUAUGACCACUGAAGGAGUUGUUAUCAAGGACUAGUGUUUCCAAGCGAAACAAACGACCAAUUUCUGGAGGAAUGGUGUGGCUGAAGCCAUUGUUUUGGAGGCGUAAAAUCCUCAGAAAGCUCAAGUUUCCAAUGUGGGGAGAUAGGUGGCCGGCCAGCCCGCUUGAUUGGAGGUUGAGCACUGUAACCCUCUGGUGUUUGCGGCCACAAGUAAUGCCUGGCCAAUGACAGAAGUGGAGCGAUUCAUUCCAAGAGCUAAGGAUGCCCAAGGUAUCGUUCACGAUUUCAGCUUGAAAGGCAAGCAAGGAAAGCCUAUCCACCUCGUUUCCCGCUAAAUGUGAGGAGGAGGCAAAGCUAAAAAGAAAGAGAAGAAAGAGUGGUUGCAUGAAAAUAAACCAAAUGCUAAUAUGAAUACUUGACAACUCCAUUUUAGCUAGGCUGCAAAAUGAAGCUCUGGAUAUUUAACCUUAGGUAAUCGAAGUUGACGCAUAGAAAGGAGUAAAUUUUAGCGUCCCAAUUCGGUUGCACGGCUGGUUUCUAUGUGCAUGCCGUGGUUGACGGGUUGGGGAACACAACAUAUAGCUUUGGCACUCGCAAUAAUUCUUAAUUGACAAAUGCUAAUCUUAUCAAAUUUUUCAUACAGUAUUUGUAUCACCUUUCAAAUAGAGGAAGGGCUUACGAAUAUAUGUUGGUCUCAUCUCUAUAAAAAAAUGCUAAUUUUACCACAUUUGUAUCAUCAUUUGUAUUCUCUCUAAUAGAGAUGAGACCCACAUGUGUUGAUGAAUCAACCUUUAUUAAAAAAACAGUAGAAAUAAUAGUACAAAUAUGUGGUAAGUGUUGCAUUAAUUUGAGUAACUUACAUGUUGGUUAUUGACCAAAAAAAAAAAAAGACCUGGAAUUAUAAUAAAAAGCUUUUACGUUAGAAUUAUCAUAAAAAGAAAAAAGUAAAACAUAAAGACACUCACUAGCUAGUUUUCUACCGUAUUGGAAGGUGUAGGUAAGACUAGAAAAAGUGCCCGUAAGUAUGUAAGACUAGAAAAAGUGCCCGUAAGUAUGUAAGACUAGAAAAAGUGCCCGGCGUUGCAGUGGGUCUUUAAGAUACUAAAGAAAAUAUAUCAAUAUAGAAAACAGAAGUCUCUUAUGCUGUGAGUGUCAAAACUGUAUAGAACAUGUAAGAUUUGUAAAUAAAUAAAUAAAUAUAUAUAUAUAUAUAUAUAUAUAUAUUAGCGAUACUAUUUACAUACAUGUGGAAUGUAAGAAAGAAAAUUAGUUCUUUUGUUUUGAAUCAAGAUCACUAAUUCCAAAAUACAAUUUCAAGAACCAUUUCCCUACAGUUGAACAUCAAGAAAACCACUAAUUCUAAAAUACAGAUUAAAUUUCUCUCCAUGUUAAAAAGCAUGUAAGCAGAGAGACAAAGGAUGUGGUUUCUAUUACUGGUAGGAUUAGCUUGUAAAGGUUUGUCCACCGUGUUUUGAAUAUUGGUCUCCACUGUAACCACCUUUGAGAACUUUUUUUCUAGAUAAUUCCACUGUAAAAAGAAAUCCAUGUUAUAAUGCAUUUCUAUUCAUAACACGUUUAAUACUUUUUAGUGGACCAUGAUCGGGAUUUUAAUGUUGUAUGUCAAUAUAUAAAAUAGAACAAAGCCAUUGACAAUCUAAAAAUAUCAUAUAAUUGAUAGCGGUGUGUGCUUUUGGUAGAUAGUUUGUAAUCAGUUUGCAAAAUAUUGGGAUGUCUAGUUCCAGCAGGAGUGUGUUAUCCUUAGCAAAGGGGAUACUUUUUUAUAUUUCGUAAUUGCCCAGAUGAAAUCAUGGCUCAUGCCUCACACAUCUGUCAUAAAAAAAAUCUUAAACACAAAGAUUCAUCAUUAUAGCCUAAAUUAACAUCGCAUUAUCAUAUCGGAACAGACAAAGGUACUCAAACUCUAGUGUCCCACAUGUUGACAUCCAACAAACCAAUCAAAAAAAUUUCUCUAGUGAAAGAAUAAAACUGAAUUAAAAAAUAAAACAGAGAGAACUAUCAUAGAAAGCAGAAAGUAACUUACACGUUAGUUAUGAAAUGUUCGGCCCAGGUAGAAAGUAAAACUGUAAGACUCAUUAGCUAGUUUUCUACCUUAGUGGAAGGUUAGCUAGUCUUCCACUAGCUAGUUUUCUACCGUAAUGCAAAUGGUAAAUUGGCUAGUUUUCUACUCUCACAAUUAUUACUCUUGCAAAAUGCGAUGCAUCUGUGACGGAGCAAAUACUCUUUGUUUUUCAUUUUUUAUGAAAGUAUAAUAUUCAUUAAGGAGACGAGAAAAUGUACAAGAGGUUAGAAGGUUUAAAAGAGUCACCAGUGAAAAAAAAAAACUGCUUCACUUUGAAGUUAAGCAUUAAAAAAAGUGUUUGGUAAAUAUAAAAUAUACUGCUUAUUUUAAAAGUAAUGACUUCUAGACAACAACUUUUAAAAGUAGCUUGUAGAUUGCUUUUAAAAAGAUUAACUUUUCAAUAAUACCAUAUUGAAGAUGAAAAACUGAAAAUAGUCCUUUGACUCAUGUCCACGUUAGAUUAUAUAGUCCAUGUCAUAUUUAAUUAUUUUUUUACAAAUUUAUUAUAUUUGUAGUUUACCUAUAUUGCCCUUAGGUACAGAUAAAUGCCUAUACGUUCUGGAAUUGUGGAUUCCCCACAUCUCUCUGCAUCUGUUACAAUUCAUCUCUCCAUCUCCUCUUCAUCGGUUACGAUUUCAUCUCUCCAUUUCCGGUGUCGAUGAAGUUUUCCCCUUUUUUCUCUGUUGAUGACAAUGUUCACGCUUCCUUUCUAUAUAUUGAUCCCGAAAAUCAGUUUCUCUUUAUUGGUUGGAUUGUCUCAUUAUCAAUUCAUAGUAAUCAUCCUGAUUUUCAGAAUUUUCAAUUGUUUGUUUAGGAGAUUUGACCAUUUCGUCUCAUUUUUAAGUACACAUUGUUAGUUCAUUGUACUCACUUUUUUUUAAUGUUUUAUUUGUUUGUAGGAGAAAUGGAAUUGGCUAUCAUUGGCAGAUGUAACCACAAUGGAAACACUGUAGCUUUCCCAAUUUUUGGGAACACGUCAUUCGCCGAGGUUUGUUCACAUGUUCGAGGUUUGACGAAUUGGUUGUUGGUACUUUUAAUCCAAAAAUGGCAGCAAUAUCUAUAGCUGUUAUCGUCAAGCGCUUACCACCUAUAUCAAAGCAUUUAAGAUCCUUAUUAUAAGUCUCUAGUAUAUCAAUAACAUCGUAGUCGUUCUUCCAUGCAUCAUUUGUCGCAAUGCCUUCUCUGUAUGUCUUGAACAAAUCCCAAAAUGGUGUCCUCUCCAUAAGCUCAAGGUGGAUAGGUUUGAUAUGAUUUUGAAACUUUUGGUAGGCUUCUACAAAAAUCCCCAUGUUAGACAUGUAUUGUAGGAAUGAAUAUUUACUCCUCUUUCGUGCCAUAAUUCUUGUAACCUGUGGAUUCAUACAAUAUGGAAAAGCAUAAGAGUUUACACAAUAAUUGAAAUGCAUCAGGUAUUACAGCAAAAUGGAUUAAAUAAGUCCUCAGGUGGAUUCAAACAUAAUUAGUACAAACGGUACAACUUUUUUUUCAUACCGAAUUGUUCGGAACUACACUAUAAACAUAUUUAUUUGAAAGUGUGCCCAAAUUGAGCUUACCAAAUCAAACAGACCUAAACAUCAUAAUGUAAGUAAUUGAAUUCACAACCUAAUUGACCAUACCAAAUCAAUUGGACCUAAAUGUACACAACAUACCUAAAUGAACGUACCAAAUGGAGGGGACCUAAUUGACCGUACCUAAAUGAACGUACCAAAUAGAGGGGACCUAAUUGACCGUACCGAAAGGAGGGGACCUAAUCGACCGUACCGAAAGGAGGGGACCUAAUCGACCGUACCGAAUGGAGAGGACCUAAACAUAAGCAACGUAACCGUACCGAAUGGAGAGGACCUAAACAUAAGCAACGUACCUAACUGCCCCUUCCAAACCCAAAAGACCGUACAAAAAUUACAAACAUAUAUGAUGGCAUUGCACAGCCAGCAAAGACUUUAGGCCAUAUCCUCAUUCCCUUCCCAACUAAGAUGCACAAUACACUAUUUUUUCAAUGAGCUUUCAUCCCCCUGCUUCACAUCCCAUUCUACUUGCAAUUUUGCAAUGUUUUCAAUAUCAUUUAUCUUUUACGCUAUCUCAAAUGCUUUCAUUUUUUUUAAUAGUCCUGCACUCAAUAAAUUAAAAAUGAGUCCAAGGAUAAACGAAACGAACUAAUUUGUAUGUAUAGAAAAUGACCACAAUGAAACCAUAUAGUGUACCUAACUGACCGUACCAAAUGGAGAUGACCUAACUGACCGUACCAAAUGGAGGGGACCUAAUCGACCGUACUGAAUGAAACAAGAGCCAACAUAUACAAAAUCUCCAUAGAGGCCUUUCAACAAACACAUGGUGUGCAUUGUAAAAAUCAAUUAUUGCUAAAACAAAUGAAACUUAUCGGACCAAAACAUGCACACCAUAUGAAACAAGCUAUACAAGUAUCACCCCGUGUGUGUUGAUUAUGGUAGCUAAACAUAUUCCACACCAUAUAGCUUAUGAUUACGACAAAAGAACACUACAAAUAGUAGCUUACAAGUGAUUCGUGGGUUCCGACGAAAGUAGCAAAUCGAGGAAGUCGAACAAUUGUAGCUUCAAACAGAUUUUCAUGGAGCAAGGGUCCUGACGGUUACAACAACUGAAAUAAUGCUUUGUGAGAGUAGACAACAUGUUUGAAAAUUUGAAAAUUUUCAUUGAUUACAGCUUCAAUACCGGAUGAAACGGACUCACCGCUUUCUCUCUAAAUCUCUCUUUAAUGUUUACUGUUACGAAUCUGAGAACAAAAAUGUUGAGGUUACAGUUCUGACAUUUAAGAUGGCAGACAUGUAAACAGUGGUAAAAACUGUGGUAUUUGUAUAGGUGACAUGUCAUGGUGCAUUGAAAUAAAUGAUCUUUUUUAGAUACUGAAAACCUCUUAGGUUAUAUUCUAAAAAUUAUCUUUGGUAAGGACUAAUCUCUAAGAGCCCCUUUAAUAAAAUGCAGAGUUAAGUCUUUAAUACAUAUUUCAAUUGUUGUAAUAUCUUCAUUAAUAUUUUUAAAAUGACAUUAUUUGCCUUCCACACAUAUUUUAUCCCUUAGAUAAUAAAGUGACCGUUAUAACCUACCAUUACAAACACUAACCUUACACUAUCAACAUCAUUAUCACCACCAUAACCAUAAUCGCCACAGCCACCACUGCCGCAACAACCAUAACCGCUACUACCGCCAUUGUCACUACCAUCAUUGUUGCGGUUGCCGCCGCCACUACCACAACUGCAACCACCACCACUAGCACCACCACCGUCCCUAGCACCAUUGUUACCUCUACACCCCAACCACCGCAUCCCACUAUUAGUACCAUCACCAUACCUCCACUAUAAUCACAACCGCCACCAUUUCCACCACAACCACAACUGCCACCACAGCCAUUAGCACCAUUAUUACCUCUACACCCCAAUCACCACAUCCUGAUAUUACACCACCACCAUUCAUACUACCAUCACCACCAUUGCAACCACCACCACCACCACCACCACUGAUAGAGUAUAGAAAUUGAUGUAUAUGAUGAUGACAUUUGUAAUUAGAUUAGAAGAUGUGUUAGUUAAGGCAGUUAGCCUUGUUGUUGGAAGUGUAUAAAUAUCUCAACCUUCUGUAUUACUUAGUCAUUACGAAAUCUAUCAAGAACAUUCAUUCUCUCUCUCUUCUCUUUGAGUUGUUAUCUCUCUCUAGAAUUUCUGUAUACAAUUUCAUAGAUUUAAUUACAUUUACAUGGUAUCAAUAGCCAUUGUUGCCUACGCUUGAUCUUUGAUCUUUCUUCUCUACUUCCGCUCGCCUCAACGGUGUCUUUGCUCUCGUAAAUUUGUCUUCAGUAUCUUCAAUUCUCUUCGUCUUUUUGAAAUUCUGAUUUCUAGGGUUUUUCUCGGUUGAUCAUCUUCUUGCGUCGAUCAUUUCUUCUGCUCUUUUGGUUAGUGCAUACCAGCUGUUUGCUAAAAGUUCUCAUUGAGUUUGUCAGAAGCAAUUUCAAUGGUAACUGCAACGCAACUUCAACUUGUGCAAUCCCCGAUUACUGCCCUAAUAUCCUCUAUUUCGACUUCGGUGAAUGUCAAAUUGGAUGACUCCAACUACCUUAAUUGGCACUUUCAGAUACAACUAUUGUUGGAGAGCAAUGGAAUUAUGGGGUUUGUUGAUGGCUCACAUCCCUGUCUUCCUUAAUUUUUCGAUCAAUUUGGUGCCUCUGGUAUGAACUCUAGCUCUAAUGCUUCUGUUGCUACGGCUGAGUGUGUGAUUUGGAAAAUGCAUGAUAAGGCUGUAAUGCAACUGCUAACUGCUACCCUUUAGCCUGCUACUUUAUCCUGUGCUAUUGGUAGUAAGAGUUCUCAAGAUAUAUGGAUUCGUUUGAAAGAACAAUUCUCUACUGUGUCUAAGACUAGUAUCUUUCAAAUGAAGUCUAAUCUCCAAACAAUUAAGAAGGGUUCUGAUUCUGUGUCCUAGUAUCUUCAUAGGAUAAAAGAGGCUCGGGAUUACUUAUCUGCUGCUGGAGUUUACUUUGCUGAUGAAGAUAUUGUUAUACUUGCUCUCAAUGGUUUACCCUCUGAAUAUAGUACUUUUCAGUGUAUCAUUUGAGGUCGUGAGAAUGUGAUAUCUCUUAAAGAGUUUCGAUCUCAAUUACUUGCUGAAGAGAUUAUUGUUGAGAAUUUUACCACCGCACCAUUUAUUACUGCAAUGGUUGCAAACAAUGUUUCUAAUUCAGGAAAGGGUACAUCUGGUCAAUCUUAAUUUUUUUAUGGAGGUUAUAAGCCGUUUAAUGGCAACAGAAACAAAGGAAAAGGCAAGUUUAAUCAAGGGUUUAGGUCUUAUCCACCCAAACACUCUUUUUCCACUCAAACACAUGUGCUACCAACACUGAAUCUGGGCAUCCUUGGUCGCUCCCCAGUGCAGUCUUAUGGCAAUCCAAGUGCUCCCUUGGUGCAAACCUGUCAACUCUGUAAUGCUGAAGGACACACAUCACCAUUAUGCCAUUCUAAACCUCCUGACAGAGUUAAUUGUCAAAUCUGUGGCAAACACAAUCACAGCACAUGGUAUUGUUUUUAUAAUGACAAAGGUCCUAAUUUUGUUGGCGCUACCACUCAGUUUUAUUCGUCUCAGAUGCAUUCCUCAAACUUUGGUGCUCCCGAUUACAAUGCUCCUAUUCAACAAUCUGCAAUGCAUGGACAACAAUUCUAUCCUCAGCAUCAUUCUCCUCAAUCUAUGCUUACUGUGAUGACUCAGUCACCUUCCGUGGCAUCUACUUCUCACUCUAACCCUCAAGUGUGGCUCACUGACUCUGGUGCUACAAAUCACAUGACUUAUGAUCUCAGCAACUUAUCUCUGGCAUCUCCAUAUAUAUAUAAAUAAAAAAACAAGCCUAUGCCGAGCACCAGCUCGCCGAGCUCGGCAUAUGUGAUGUAUACAUAGGCAGAGCACGAGAUGGCCUUCGGCUCAGUAAAACAACCUUUAUUUAAACAAGCCUAGUGUGAAUUGAGCAACCAUGUCGUUAAUGACGUAGACUCUCCAUUGUGCUGCAUGGGAUGUUCCUCGGCCCCCUUUAUUUUCUGAAGCAUCGGCCUGCACGGCCGAAUGGUGAAGAAAAUAAUUUAUUUAUUUUUUCUCUUUUUUUUGUGUACUUUUUGUACGAGGAUUAAAUUCUCGUUGCCUUCUUAUUUUCUUAAGUAUCAGUCAAGAGGCCAAAUGGUUAAGAAAAUAAUUUAACAAAUGGAAAGAAAAGUGGCCGAACCAUAAAUAGGAGGAGGCCAACGAUGCUUUAUUCCAAGCUGAGAUAUUUUAAUAUCAAAAUUCUCAAAUUGAUUUCGCUCUAGGCCGAAUAAAGAAUUUUCUCCACAUAUUUUUGCCUUGGUAAAAUAUUUUUCAUUUUCGGCCGCCGAAUGUGUUGAACAAUUAUUAUGCCCCCCAAGCAUAAUAACUUUGUUAAUUUCGGCUUUUAACUCAAUUAACUGAGCCAAACGAGAUUUCUUCAUAUCGGCUUUAUCACCAAUAAUCAUAUCGAUUGGCGUGGUCUUGGCAGCUAGGUCUAUGUCUUUAAUUACCAUAUCAAUCGAUGUGAUUUUAUGGUUUGACGCCAUGUAUCGGUCUUGUUCGCCAUUGGAGCACUCCUCUGACGAACCAUUUUCUAAGUCGAUUUCUGGCUCAGAAACUCGAACUUUUUCUUCUAGGCCUACCACAAUUUCAGUCUCGAUCGAACAAACAAGUGGCCUAGGUUCUUCUUCGGCCAGCUUGGUAAUUUUAAUAGGCCGAAGUUUGAUUGUUUCUGGAUCGGAAAAUUGCCCCCAUCUUCUAGACAACUUCUCAAGAACUUUACAGUAUUCUUCAAUGAAUUUUUGUUGCUUCUCGACUCUUUCCUUGUAUAGGCGCAAAAUCUCACCCACUGAAGCUUGAUUGAGAUCUUGAUAUAUCAUGUGAACUUUGUAGUUUUAGCACUGGUCCCACUGGGCAUGCCAAAAUGUUGACCCUAAAAACUACCAAGCCUACGUGGCGCGCAGGCCGAGUAACUAAUAAGCUAACUACGUCAUUCGGUUGUAUGCGGGGCGUGCCAACUCGUCGGCCAAGCUCGGCCAAGGAGUAAAAUUUGUUGAUGUUGCGUUGGGUGCGUUGCUGACUUCUUAAUCUUGCGACUGCGGCCGAGGAAGGAACACGUCUCGGCCUUCGAGUUCUAGAGCCUGAAGACAAGGCUGCUAGUUCUGCGAAGUUCAAUAUCAAAUUCGGCUUUCAAUGUGCCGAAUGUAGUAACUUGUAACACCUCACUUCGCCGAGAAGGCUAAUAAGAUGACCUCUGCCAAUAAGGAUUCGAAAAUCCUUCUCGACCGAGACUUGGAUAGAUAACUAGUCGGCCCUGUCGUAGUGUUAUUUAUCCAAACUGAAGGUGCUUCAUGGUUGGCUAAUUCUACGGCAACAGUGUUGUUUAUCCAAACUGAAGAUGUUCGCCGGUUGCCUUCACAAUGCUGUUUAUCCAAACUGAAGAUGUGUUGGAGAGAAAAAGAAAAUAAAAAAUCUCAAGAUGUUUGAGAGGUUUCGCGUAGAGCGAGGGUUUGCGCAUGGUAGUUUGUGUGUUGAGUUGGAGGUCCUUCUUCUGUUGCUAUUGCCUCUAUAUUUAUAUGACUGAGGUACUUGCUUUGCACGGUAAGAUAAUGUUGCAGAUUUUAACUACAACUCUAACUCCUGAAGUUGAUUCGCAUCAGAAACCAGAACCAAGGCAUAUCCUUCAAACUGAGCCGUGGGAUUUGUUCCAAGACUUUUCAAACCUAAUAAAAGUCCAUCUAGGCUUAUCACAUCACAUUUCAAGCCCACUUAGGCUUCUCAUCUAUCACCAAAACUCCAUCAGUAGCCUUUAUCCCAUGCAUGAAUAAUAAAAUGAAAUAUAAUCCCAUCAUAAUUAAAAGCCUAGCCUAGCUAGGCUUUCUUUUCUUGUCAUAUGCAGGUUACGGCAUAUAUAUAUAUAUAUAUAAUUAUAUAGUAAGCAACCUUUCACACGGCAUGCACAAGCCAAACCCAUCAUCAAUUCAAUUCAUCUGACAACAUCCAUAAAUAACACAGCCUACUUAGGUCUCCUAUCUCACCAUUAUCCAAGUCUUGCAAAUCCCAUGUUAUGCCACGUGAUAAGAAUCCAAACCGAGUUGCUCUAACCGACACGCUACACUGCUAACAAAUCCCCCAAAUUAAAUCGGACUGUUUCACCUAUCUCUCCGUUGGGAUAUAAUUCACAUCUUAUUUAUAUGGUUUAAGAAGAUGCAGAUAAUUCGUAUUAAAAGAUUAUUAUGAUAAAAACCAUAAUAUUAUCCUUUAACAAAAAUAUCUUCACUUUUCCAUCCGACGGUUGAGAACUAUACUUACUCAACGGCCUUGAUUACAUGGGCUGAUGGUGUAAAUUUGGGUCCAAACAGUUCCACAACUGGUUUCUGCAUGCAUGCCAUGGUUGACGGUUUGGGGAACACAACAAACAAGUUUGGGACUUGCAAUAAUUCUUCAAAAUGCUAUAUACUCUUACUACAUUUUUCAUAUUACAUAUGUAUCAUCUCUUUAAUAGGAUGAGACCACAUGUAUUGGUGGGUCGUACUUCUAUUAACAAGGUGGUACAAAUGUAGUAUGAAAAAUAUAGUAGGUAUAUCAUUGCUCUUCUUAAUUAGCUCUUUAAAAAGCCGAGUCGAGCUUGCAGAUGUAGUGAAAGAAAACUGAAAAGAAAGAAAAAAAACAGAUAAAGUUAUCAUAGAUAGUAGAAUGUGACUUAGAUGUUAUUUAUUAAAUGUUCGUAUAGGGAAGAACAAAUACGAUACGAAAAACGUUAUAAGUUUGAUGAAUCUCAGAGACCAUUUGUGGGAUAGUGAAUGUCAGGGAUGAAAUUGAUUGAUUUUGAAAGUGAGGGGCCAAAAUGAUGAGUUUGAUCAAUAUCAGAAACCAUUGGUGAUAAAAACCCAAUUAAAAUUGCAUAAUUAAUCAGAACAAGAACCAAACUUAGAUUGACAAAUUCCAAAUUUCCAAGCAAACAUAAAGAUGAUCUUACAAAUUAUGAUCAUUUACAAAACAUACAAAAUAAAAUUGCAAAACGGGAAAAUCCACCUCGUCAUCAUUCAGAAGAUCACCAUGCAAAGUUCAGGCACUGUCAUGGGAUUUUAUUUAACAAUAACAGGGUAUUAUUACUCACUACUUGGAUCGCCAUCACGGAUACUCUCUAGGCAUCCUAGUUCCAGUUAGCACAUCCCUUAUUAGACUCAAUUCAACUACCACAUUGCUCAUGUCAUUUCGCUCUCUCGGCAUCGCUACAGAACAAGCAACUCCUACUCUUGCAAUGGAAGUCAAGCACUCCACAACCCUUUUUCUUCGAUCAUUUGGGGCAAGAUUCCCCACAUUACUUCUGGAAUUAGUACUGCUGCUGCUUUCUUCAAUUUGAACAAGUAGUGGAUCACAUAUUUCUCUCACACGCUCUGGUAGAGCCAUCAUAACAAAACUAUGCAGGUCCAUACCACCGUUAAACAUGUCAUCUGUCGGCCUCUUGCCAAUUAACAUCUCCAACAACAGUAUUCCGUAGCUAUACACGUCGCCAUAUGUUGACACCUCGCCUCCCAUUCCAUACUCUUAAGUUAUAUGCACAAAAACAUAGCUUUGUUCUUAUGUGUGACUUCAAAAAACUCAUGCUAUACACAAAACCAUAGUGCGCAAAUAAAAUAUAUACAAAAGAAAAUUUACCUGGGGGAGUAUAGCCUAUGGUGCCUUUUAUGACAUUGGAACUGCUAUCGUGCAAAGGAGAUGGGCAAGAAGCAUCCCGAAGGUAUCUUGCUAAACCGAAAUCACCAACACAAGCAGUCAUGUCACUGUCUAACAAAAUGUUGCUGGGCUUUAUAUCACAAUGAACUAUUGGGAUGUGGGAGCUGUUGUGCAAAUAAUCCAGAGCACACGCUACAUCGAUGGCAAUGUUAACUCUUUGAGUGAGAUUCAGAUUCUUCGGCAGAUUGGCUGGCCUAUCUACACCUUGAGCUGAUAUGUGCAGCCACUCAUCUAGGCUUCCAUUCACCAUGAACUCAUACACCAGGGCUUUGAAAUCGUUUCCUUGAAAAUCAAUGCUUGAACAAGCACUUAGUAGCUUGGCAAGAUUUCGAUGCCUAAUGCUUUUCAAGGCUUCACAUUCAGAUAUGAAACUUUUAGAAGCUCUUGAACUUUGAAGAUUGAGUACUUUCACCGCAACAUUUCUUUCUUCAUGCUGAUUGAGAACUCCCUUGUACACGGACCCGAAACUUCCAGAACCAAUCAGAUUCGAAGCAGAGAACCCAUCAGUUGCUUUGAGGAGAUCUCCAUAGGACAGUUUCAAAAGCGAAACCCCUAGUGAUGAUCCUGAAGUUGAUUUAAGCGCUUUAUCCUUUCUAUAUCGAUAAAGAAGUGCAAGUAACAACACCAAGACCAAGCUGACAACCCCACAUGAAACUAAGAUAAUUAAGUUCAGCUUAGGAGAUAACCCGCACUUAGAUUGCUUGGAGACACAUUUAGGCAAUCUUAAGUGAGGUAUACCUCCACAAAGUCGUGUGUUUCCCACAACAGAUACCGCACUUGCAUUCUUAAAAACUCCUUGGAUUGGUACUGCACCUUCAAAAUCAUUAAAUGAAAGGUUCAAAUUCUGCAAGAAGAUGAAACUCCCCAAAUAGUUGGGAAUUAUGCCAGACAAGUUGUUGCGAGAGAGGUCAAAAUUUUCAAUUCCUCUCAAAGAGCUCAAGGAUUUAGGAAUUGUCCCCUGCAAUAAAUUUUGUCUCAGAGACAGAGUCGUCAAACUUGUGCAACUCCCUAAACUUUGUGGAAUCUCACCAGAUAACUUGUUUUCAGAAACAUUCAAUAAAACAAGAUGCUGUAAGUUACCUACUUCCGUGGGAAUGGAUUCAGUAAGUUGGUUUCCAGAUAGAUCCAAGUAAAUCAAUGUAUUGAUGAAUUGUUUUGGAAUUGGACCUCUAAGAUUGUUGUGGGAAAGAUCCAAAUAUAACAUAAACCUGGAGUCUCCAAGACUUUGUGGUAUGCUGCCGUGUAACUGGUUUGACUCGAGAUACAAACUGCUUAAUGAAGUUAGAUUUCCUAGAGAUGAUGGAACAUUACCCGACAAUUCAUUCCAACCUAGAAAUAGGACAUAAAGCUUAUUCAAUUUACCUAUUGAACUCGGUAUAGUGCCUGCCAAUAAAUUUGCAGAUAAGCUUAGUCUCUCCAAGUUGAUAAGAUUUACAAUCCCGAUGGGAAUGUUUCCGUGUAUCUGAUUCCCCUUAAAAUAUAUUUCCCUGAGCUUUGUUGAGAGAUUGCUGAUAGAUUCAGGUAGCACUCCUCCAAAAUUAUUGACGCCGAUAGAUAAAGCAUGUAAAUUGGUGCAAUUAACUAGAGAAGAGAUGAAAUCCAAGUCACCUUCCUCAUUAUUUCCAAGAUUGUUCUCUUGAAGAUCAAGCCAAUACAAAUUUGACAGGCGUGCCAGACUAGGCACUUUCCCAAUAAACUUAUUGAAUGAGAUAGCAAAUAGUGAAAGGCUUGAGGCAUUGGAGAUUGAAGCUGGUACUGGUCCAGUGAAUUGGUUGGUAUGGAAAGCAAAGGUUUCGAGGUUUGGAAAUAUAGUGUGGCCCAAGCCAGGAGGAAGAGUUCCAUGAAGGUUGUUUUGAAGCACAUAAAUGACUUUAAUUGACGAGAGGUUGUAUAUGGAGAGAGGAACGGUACCAUUCAAAUAAUUAACCGCCAAUGAGAAAGCCACUAAGCUUUUCAACUGGCCAAGGCUAUUUGGAAUACCUCCAUGCAGAUUAUUUGUGUGCACAGAUAGCUUUUGAAGAGAAGAAAGAUUCCCAAAAGAAGGUGGGAUUUUCCCAUAAAAAAUGUUCUUGCUUAAAUCAAGUAACCGAAGCUUGGACAAUGAGCCAAUUUCAGUUGGAAGUUCGCCACUAAGAGUGUUGCCAUAUAAGCCAAGGUAUUGGAGGUUAGAGCAACGUGAUAUGUUGAAUGGGAUAUGACCACCGAAGGAGUUGUUAUAAAGGAGUAGUCUUUCCAAGCGGAACAAACGACCAAUUUCUGGAGGGAUGGUGUGGCUGAAGCUAUUGUUUGGAAGGUUUAAAGCCCUCAGAAAGCUUAAGUUUCCAAUGUGGGGAGAUAGGUGGCCGGCCAGCCCGCUUGAUUGAAGGUCGAGCACUGUAACCCUCUGGUGUCUGCGGCCACAAGUAAUGCCUGGCCAAUGACAGAAGUGGAGGGAUUCAUUCCAAGAGCUAAGGAUGCCGAGGGUAUCGGUCACGAUUUCAGCUUUAAAGGCAAGCAAGGAAAGCCUAUCCACCUCAUUCCCCGCCAAACGGGAGGAUGAGGCAGAGCUAAAAAGAAAGAUAAGAAAGAGUGGUUGCAUGAAAAUAAACCAAAUGCUAAUAUGAAUACUUGAGAACUCCAUUUUAGCUAGGCUGCAAAAUGAAGCUCUGGAUAUUUAUGUAACUGUUAGUUGACGCAAAGAAUGGAGUCAAUUUCAGGGUCCGAAUUGGGUUGCACAGCUGGUUUCUGGAGGAAAAUUGGAUCACAGCCUUGUUAGAUUAAGACUAGGGAAUUAAUAGACAUCACAAAUGCCCGUCACCGAUAGUAUAUGUGAUUCGUCACCUGUUCUUAGUAUACGUGGCGCCCGAUUCCUCACAUAUUUUCAAGCCCAAAUGCCAAUCUUGACUGAAUUUAUGACUUUAUAAGCGUCACAAAUCCUAAAAUUAUGUGAUGAAUAGGUAUAUCGUCACAUGCUCCUUUAAAUUGUUUAUAUUAUAUUUUAAUCCAUUUAUUCUUUUACAUUUUAUCAUUUUAGUAAUUAAACUAACAUUUCAGCUUAAUGUAAUUCUGUAAAUGGCAAGUACAUACUAUGAAACUCAAUGAAAAAAAAUUCUUAUAAUUCAAAUACGGGUAGUUUUUACAUUAACAUGUAUACAGUAACCUACAAUACAUCCCAAUUGUAGCUUGAAAAAGAUAAUAUCAUAACUAAAAAUAUUGAAUUGGAGUUGUCUGCUACAAAAUCUGUAGCGAAGAAACUAGCCUUUUGAAUAGGUUCAAUCUUUAAAGCACCAGCUGCAUCACCACUUUUUAUUUUGUAAUCCCUUCCAGUAGACAUAUCAAGAACUGUUUCACUCAAACAAAACGGUUAGGUGACCCAAAUGUUGUUCAAACGCAUAACUUACAGAAAACAUUAUAGCAAGUAAAAAAGUGUUGAUUUAGGUCGUACCCAGUGCACAAGGCUCCCGCUUUACGCAGGGUCUGGGAGAGGUGAAUGUCGGCUAGCCUUACCCCCAUUUUAUGGAGAGGCUGCUCCCAAGUCUCGAACCCGAGACCAACCGCUCAUGGGCGAAGGCACUUGCCAUCGCACCAAGUGCGACCUCUAAGUAAAAAAGUGUUGAUACACAAGAUAUAUCCCUUCUACAGUACACUUGACCAAAGGGUAUACAUAUUAACACCUCUUUUAAGUUAUUAAACCACUUUACCGGUAUAUAUUUGUAACAACACCUGGAAAUAUAGGUGGUGAUAUAACGAAAACCAUGAUUCACCUGCAAAAGACAGAAAUGGAUUCACACAAGUUAUUUGCUGGCCAAGCUAGUUGGACCUUUUUUCCAUAUUAGUGGACCUAACCGAACACAAAGAGACCAUUCCUGAAAAACAGUAAGACCCAAAUAUUCAAAUCCCAAAUGACGACUAAUUUAUACAUAAACUAAAAUAUCAAACAAAAAUCCAUCACAACAAAAGAGAAUACAACAUGCACACAAUUACUCAUAUGAGCUAACAAAAGGGUUAGAAGUCAAGCAACCAAGUAACAACCUGUAAUUGAAAAUUAUUAUAAAAAAAAUGAGUUAACCAAACAUCCGAAAUGAUCCAAAUGUCGAUUCCCAAACAAACACAAGAAAGAAAAAUAUUGAAGUAUAUUACAAAACUCUACUAAUCUACACUAGUGAAGGGAGACGAGUUUGAACUUGAGACGCAGUUGGUUGACUAAGAAUGUCAGGGCAAUCCAUCACUCAUUAUUGACUCUUUGUUUCUUUUUUCUUUCUCUUACAUGAAGAAAGUUGAGGUUGCACGCCAAAACUAAAUGAAAAUAGACCUAACUUUUCUCAUAAUACAAGAUUUAACUUUCCAAUGUUAGAUAGCACCACACAACAUUUUUCCCUUUCUAAAUCACGACCUCAAAAGAACUUACCUCACAUGCAUUCUAUCAUGUCCUUUUAAAAAAAGAAAAAUUACUAUUAUUAAGGAGUGAGAGAAGAGUUCGAAACUAUUACAUUAAUUGAGAGAAAUGAAGAGUUUCGAACCAAGACACAUAAGUAGAAACUCAACACCCAAUCCAAUAUGAAUUACUAAUUUAGAUUUGAGAUUAGGUAUCGAAUAGUGAGUUGAAUUAAGUUAGGACAAGUUAGACUCAACCAACUAAAAUUGAACCAUAUACAACUAGUAUUGUAGGAUAAGUGUUAGGUUAUAUGGUCAUCUUUUCCGAUGGACCCUUUGCCUAUGAAUUAUUCUCAAAUGUCACAUAUCACCGUAUAUAUUGUUAUCUUUCUUUUUCACAGCACGCCAAAAUUGAUAAUUAAAAAAUCUGCCUUAAUGGCCAAAUUUGUGACACAUGAACAAUUAUGCACAAAAAAAAAAUAUAUAUAUAUAUAUAUACACACACGAGACAAAAAGGAGUGGACAAAAUAAGAACACAUAUAUGAAAGAAGAGCAACUACCAAUUGAGCCCCAUUAUAUUUAUGUGGUCCCUCCAAAUAUAAUAUCCUCUCACGUCAAAGCUGUGACUUUGUCAAGUGUGUUUUACAAGAAAACUCCUCGGAAAACUCAUCGGUAACAAAUAGAUUUUUCAAUGUGACCAGAACAUAGGAUGGUACAUCACAUGUAACUAUACAAAUGGUGAGAUACGUGUAUUAUUAAAAUUUUCUAUCACUUAUAUAAAAACACGUGAUGUAACACUCGUGUUCCAAUCACAAUAAAAAAUUUCUCUCGGUAAUUGACAGUGACAGAGCUAACAACAUUUUUUCGCAGACCAAGAUAUGAAGCUUGAGUACCACUUUGGCUAGCUGUUUUUUGGCCAUACGCUUUGAGUCACUUUUUGUUAAGUAUCUUGCCAUAUAUAUAGUGGUCAAGGUUUGAACAUCACCAAUGAUCUUGGCAAACUUACGAAUGCACAAGUGUAUACCGGCUCCGAUCACGUCAAUGGCGUUAAUGGUGGUCAAGGUUUGAACAUUUCUCACAUAGGAACCUCCUACCUACAAUCUCCCACUAAAUCUUAUACUAUCUCUAAUACCUUAUAUUGUCCCAUUGCUUUUCAAAAUAUCCUAUCUAUCAAUCAAUUUUCUUCUGAUAAUGAUUGUUUCUUCAUCCUUCACCCACAUUUUUUUCGUGUUCGGGAUAUUCGAACGGGGAAGAUCCUUUAUCAGGCCGCACACUAGACUAUAUCCAUAUGCAAGUUUCAAUUCCAAUAAAAGCCCUGGAUUUUUUGCGUGCAUGGGAGUCAAAGUUGAUGAUUGUGUCUGGCAUUCAAGACUUGGUCAUCCAUCAUCUUUUAUUUUAAAGCAUUUAGUGUCUAUUAGUCAACUGCCUAUUACUAGGCAGUCUUUCACUUCUGUCUGUCAUUCAUGCCCUCUGGGCAAAAGUAAGAAACUACCGUUUUCUUUAUCUAAUUCUAUAUCGCAUUUUCCUUUACAACUUAUUCAUUCUGAUGUAUGGACAUCCCCAACUUUGUCAAUUUCAGGAUUUCGUUACUAUGUUAUUUUUAUUGAUGAUUAUUCCUGAUAUACUUGGCUAUAUCCUUUAAAAUUAAAAUCUGAUGUGUUUCCCACUUUUGUCAAAUUUAAAACUGAAAUGGAGAAUAAAUUUCAACGUAAAAUUCAAACUUUUCAAACUGAUGGAGGAGGCGAAUAUAUCAAUAAUUUUUUAAAAAAUUACUUGGAAAAACAUGGUAUUCAUCAUCAAUAUACUUGUCCUCACCAUCCUGAACAAAACUGUAUGGCAGAACGCAAACACCGUCAUUUGGUUGAAACUGAACUUAGUGGUGGUUUGGGAGUGAGGUGCUUAAAAAAAAAGCACCCAUGAAAAAAAGAUGUGAGGGGUGUUUGGUAAACUGAAAAAAAAAGGCUUAUUUUGGAAGCUGCUGUGAGAAUAAGCUGAAAUCAAAGGAAAAAGCUGAAGCUGCUAUUUGCAGCUUUGGAAAACUGGCUUUUUUUCAAAGUACACGGAGCUACAGUGCUCCUUUAAUGAAAAGACCCACUAUCAGACUGCUUUUUUUUUUUUUUUUUUUUUUUUUUUCCAAAAGCAUUUUUACAAAAAAGUUUACCAAACACUCUGCUGAUUUAUUUUACAGCCGCUUAUUCUCACAGCAGCUUUUUUUCAAAGCACAACAAUACCAAACCAGCCCUUACUCUCCUUGCUCAUGCAUACAUGACUCAAAAUUAUUGGGCUGAGGCUUUUCAUACAGCUAAUUUUCUAAUCAAUCGCCUGCCAACCAAAGUUCUCAAUCUCACUUCUCCAUACACGAAAUUAUUUCAAUGAGAACCAUCGUAUGAAUUUCUCAAAGUUUUUGGGUGUGCAUGCUUUCCAUAUUGGACAAGGAUUGUCUGCCCUCCAUUUUUCCAUGCCAUCCUGUUUAUAUGGUCACGGUUAAACCACGUCAACAUUUUAUAUUACUAUUCAUUUUUGUCUUAUUAUCUUUAUUUAAAAAAUAAUAUAAAAUGUUGACGUGGCUUAACCGUGACCACACAAAACAGGAGAGCAUGGAAGGGCAUGGAAAAAGGGAGGGCAGACAAUCCUUGUCCUUCCAUAUUUACGUCCUUACAUGUCAAAUAAGCUUCAAUUUCGUUCCAAGAAAUGUAUCUUUUUAGGUUAUUCACUUCAACAACUCGAGUAUAUGUGUCUUGAUUCGUCAACAGGUCGUGUUUUUAUGUCUAAGCAUGUCAUUUUUUAUGAACAGUGUUUCCCAUUUCGAGGAAUGUCCAGUGCUACUCCUCCUGCAUCUCUCAUACCUAAUAGUACUCCUUCUGUACAUAGUCCUCUUGAAUUAUUUUUCCCAUCCCCAUCCCCAUCCCCAUCACAUCCGGCCCCUACUCUACCCCACAACCAACUCUCUCUAUCUUCUAUCUCCAAUACACAACUCACCACAUCCUCUGACUCCCUCUCCUCUCCCAAUGUCCCUUUAUCUCCAUUCUCACCUACCCUACCCCACGCCUUAAACCCUAGUUCAUCUACCCUACCCCACGCAUUAACCCAUAGUUCAUCUACCCUGCCACCUUUAGACUCCUCUGUCAUCUCCACCACUUUACCCGUGUCCCCUUCAGAACCUCUCUCCCUUCAUCCCAUGGUCAGUCGUGCCAGAGAUGGCAUCCAUAAACCUAACCCUAAGGGCUGGUUUGGUAUUGCUGUGCUUUGAAAAAAAGCUGCUGUGAGAAUAAGCGGUUGUGCUGUGAGAAUAAACGGUUGUGAAAUAAAUCAGCAGAGCGUUUGGUAAACUUUUUUGUAAAAGUGCUUUUGGAAAAAAAAGCAGUCUGAUAGUGGGUCUUUUCAUUAAAGGAGCACUGUAGCCCCGUGUGCUUUGAAAAAAGCCAGUUUUCCAAAGCUGCAAAUAACAGCUUCAGCUUUUUCCUUUGAUUUUAGCUUAUUCUCACAGCAGCUUCCAAAAUAAGCCUUUUUUUUUCAGUUUACCAAACACCUAAAACCCUAACAGAUUUUUUUCAUAGGUGUUUUUUUUUAAGCACCUCACUCCCAAACUAGGUCUAAGUAUGCCCAUACCUCCACCACUAAUGUUUUGACUAAGCCCACUUGUUACAUUCAUGCCCACAAAUUUCAGGAAUGGAAAACUGCAAUGGCUGACGAGUUCAAUGCCCUUCAACGAGCUGGCACCUGGUCAUUGGUUCCCUACCACCCUUCCAUGAAUGUCCUUCCCAACAAAUGGGUUUUCAGAAUCAAACGGAAACCGGACGGUUCUAUUGACAGGUUCAAGGCACGACUGGUUGCAAAUGGUUUUCAUCAACAACCUGGCCUAGAUUAUGGGGACACAUUCAGUCCCAUGGCUACUCAUUCCACCAUCAUUCUCAUCAUUGCUCUUGCAGUAUAGUUUGCUUGGCCCAUUCGACAACUGGACGUACAAAAUGCUUUUCUCCAUGGUUCUCUGUCUGAUAAGGUCUAUAUGAAACAACCCACAAGUUUUGUUGAUUCUCAAUUUCCAACACAUGUGUGUAAACUGAAACGAUCUCUCUAUGGUCUCAAGCAAGCCCCAAGGGCAUGGUUUCACUGUUUUUCCAACCACUUGGAACAUCUUGGGUUUGUAGCUUCUCAGGCAGAUUCUUCUCUUUAUGUUUACUGUCAUGGUUCGAUUCAAAUCUACUUACUCAUUUACGUUGACGACAUACUCAUCACAUGCAAUAAUAUUCAGUGCAUUAAUACUUUAAUACGGGACAUGGGAGUUGCUUUCUCCAUGAAGGAUCUUGGUCCUUUACAUUAUUUCUUAGGCAUGGAGGUUCAUUGGUCUAGUCAUGGCAUGCAUUUAUCUCAGUCCAAGUACAUUAUGGAUCUACUGCAACGCACAAUAUGCUUGAUUGCAAACCAGUUUCCACCCCAGCAGUCAGUGGCAAACACCUUAGUCUUUAUGAUGGCGAACCACUAUCAGACAUUACUGAAUUUCGUAGUGUGGUCGGUGCUCUUCAGUAUCUCACGUUCACACGUCCGGAUAUUGCGUUCUCUGUUAAACAAGUUUGCCAAUUCAUGCACAAACCUACCACUACACACUGGAUUGCAGUCAAAAGAAUUCUUCGUUAUUUGAAAUCCACACCUAACCAGGGUCUUGUUUAUAAACCUGGCUCUCUAACUCUUUCUACAUUUGCCGAUUCAGAUUAUGCGGGAGAUCCUGAUGAUCACAUCUCCACUGACGGCUAUUACAUCUUCAUUGGCUCUAAUCUUGUAUCCUGGAGUUCCAAGAAACAAAGAGGUGUCUCCUGUUCCAGCACAGAGUCUGAAUAUCGUCAGCUUGCAAUUACAGCCGCCAUAAUUUCAUGGUUUCGUAAGAUCUUUAAUGACCUUCAUCUCCGACUUUCUCCCCCAAAGAUCUGGUGUGAUAAUAUUUCUGCCAUUUCCAUGGCCUCUAAUCCGGUCUUCCAUGCACAAAACUGUCACGUAGAAGUGGACUACCAUUACAUCCGCGAGAAGGUUACUUGCUGUGAACUUUAAGUGGGCUAUGUUGCUACCCAAGAUCAGGUUGCCCAUUUUUUUACUAAAGGCCUGUCUGCUUAUCGGUUUAACUAUCUUCUGUCCAAGCUUCCCGUUCGACGGCAACCGCUCAACUUGCGGGGUGUGAUAAACCAAGUUCAAAUUCAAAGGUUCCUGCCACAACAUUCACUGAAGAUCAUAGCCAAAUCAGUCAAAAAGAAGGCUGAGAUAAACCUUAUAUGUUGCAAGUGUUAUCUUUUGUAUUAUCUGUGAAUAGGUUAUUUAUCUUUUGUAUUAUCUGUGAAUUAUCCUUGGUUUGAAGAGUUUUUUCUUCAUCCAAAUACUUCUUGUAAUCUCUAUAAAAACAUCAAAUGGAAUACGCUCACAUCAUUGAGCACAUUUACUUAUAAUCUCCACAUGUGGUUUGGUCUCUAGGCAUCCUGUUUCCAGUUAGCACAUCCCGUAUGUAACAUAAUUCAGCUAUGACAUUGCUCAUGUCCAUUCGUUCUCUUGGCAUUACUGCAGAAUAAGCAACUCCUAUUAUUGUUAGUUUAUAAGUGUAUAUGCUGAAAUGUAAUAAGAAUUCAGUUUAAAUGUCAACCUUUGGAUUAUAGUCCAAGUGUGCAGCUAAGAUGUAAUCUUAGAGUAAGUGAUAUUUUAUGCCAUGUGUCAUUACCUUAUAGGGUAAAUGAAUGAAGGGCUAGAUUUAAAUGAUGUGAUGAAGGAAUAUUCUAUUCCUAAUUGCUACAUGUGCUCAAUGUGCGUGUGAAUCAUUAGAAAUCAUCUCAGUUUUGCUUCUUCAAGCUCUAGCUUUCCCUCUCUUAAACUUUUAAUCCCUAGUAUUCAUAGAUUGUUGAUUUGAAGAACUUACAUACAAGAUAAUAGUCUAUAUGCUAACAUGGCCUCAGAGCCAUGUUCGAUCAAUUGAUACUCGGCGUUUGGAUCUGUGAAGGGCGCUACCCAGCAAUCGAGUCGAUUGUGAUCUGAGUUUAACAUGGCAAGAUCAGGUAGUAGUGAGGUGAGAGCACUGAUUUUCAAUGGCGAUAAUUAUGAGUUCUGGAGUAUUAAGAUGAAGACAAUUUUCAAAUCUCACGGGCUGUGGGAUCUGGUUGUGAGAGGAUUCGAAAGUUCAGAUUCGAAGGAUGAUGGUGAAUCUGAUGGAAAGAAGAAAGAAAAAGAGGGAUCGAGUAGUAUUGAGAAGAUAACUCUAGCCGAGAGACUGAUGAAAAAUGCUAAAGCUCUGGGUCUGAUUUAAGGAGCUGUUUCAGAUGAGAUCUUUCCCAGAAUCUCUCAUGAAGAAACUUCAAAAGGCGCAUGGGAUAUUUUGCAGCAAGGGUACCAUGGUGAUAAACAGGUUAGAAGUGUUAAAUUGCAAGGUCUUCGUAGGGAAUUUGAAUAUACAAGAAUGAGAGAUGAUGAAUCACUUUCUGUUUAUCUUACAAAAUUAUUUGAUAUGAUAAAUCAAAUGCGGAGUUAUGGAGAGGAGUUAUCUCGAGAGAGAGUUGUUCAAAAGUUAUUAAUUAGUUUGCCAUCAGCUUAUGAUUCUAUAUGUUAUAUUAUUGAGCAUUCGAAGGAUUUGGAUGUGAUUGAGGUACAAGAAGUAAUAGCCUCUUUGAAGAGUUUUGAGUUACGACUAGAUAGACAUUCUGAACACAAAACUAAGAAAGCAUUUGCUAGUCUUAAUGUGAAUCCCAAACCAACAAAAUUCAUUGGAAAUCAAAGUGCAAAGUACCAUAAGAAUUGGAAGGCAAAUGGGAAGAAGUGGGAUAACAAACCCACAGAUGGUGCUAGAAAUUCUUGUAAACAUUGUGACAAGUUGCAUUUUGGUGAGUGCCGAUUCAAAGGUAAACCAAAGUGUUAUAACUGUGAUAAGUUUGGUCAUCUUGCAAGGGAGUGCAAUAACAAGAAACCAGUGCAAUAACUCAAUUAUGCAAAUAAGGUAGAAUCUACACCCACCAUGUUUUAUGCUAGUAAUCAAACUAAUACUAGUGUAAAGGGCUGUGAUGAUGUAUGGUAUGUAGAUAGUGGGUGUAGUAAUCAUAUGACUGGAAGGGAGGAUUUACUUGUGGAUAUUAAUAAGAAUGUAACUGCAAAAGUUGAAAUGGGUACUGGACAGCUUGUUGAUGUAACUGGUAAAAGAAGUCUUGUAGUUGAAACUAAAAUAGGCAAGAGAUAUAUCAAUGAGGUUAUGCUUGUGCAUGGACUGAAAGAAAAUUUGCUCAGUGUGGGUCAAAUGAUGGAGCACGGUUAUUACUUGGUGUUUGGAGGUCACAAGGUGGAAAUCUAUGAUGACAGUUCAUAUUCCAACAUGGUUGCUAGAGUACCAAUGAAGGGAAAUCAAAGUUUUCCAAUGAAAUUACAGUCUGAAUACAUAUUGCUUUCAAGGCAAAUGUAUGUUUCUCUACUGCUAUGUGGCAUAGAAGAUUGGGACAUUCAAACAUGAGCAGUUUGAAAUUGAUGCAGGAACAAGAAAUGGUAGUAGGGUUACCAGAAAUUAAAGUAAUUAAAGGAGUAUGUGAAGGUUGUGUUCUUGGUAAACAAUGUAGAGAAGCAUUUCCAAGGGAAGCUACUACUAGAGCAUCAAUUCCUCUAGACCUUGUACAUAGUGACAUUUGUGGCCCAAUGCAUACAAUUACAAAAACUGGAAAUAGAUAUUUUCUCACUUUCAUAGAUGACUACACCAGGAUGUGUUGGGUUUAUUUUUUAAGGCAUAAAUAUGAAGUUCUCAGUGUGUUUAAAAGGUUCAAAGCUACUGUGGAGUUGCAGAGUGGAUAUAAGCUAAAGCAACUUAGGAGUGAUCGAGGAGGUGAAUACACCUCAAUGGAGUUUAACAGGUUUGUUGAAGAUGUAGGCAUGGAAAGAAAACUGACCACUCCAUACACACCACAUCAAAAUGGUGUGGCAGAGCGAAAGAACAUAACCAUUGUGGAAAUGGCUAAGUGUCUCAUGUUGGAGAAGGAAAUUCCACUUGAAUUUUGGGCUGAGGCAGUCAAUACCUCAGUGUAUAUCCUGAAUAGAUAUCCAACCAAAGCUUUAAAUAAGAAAACACCUUUUGAAGCUUACAGUGGGAGAAAACCAGGAAUUAAGCAUCUAAAGGUGUUUGGUUCAUUGUGUUAUGCUCAUGUACCAAGUCAACAGAGACAAAAAUUAGAUUUGGCAAGCAAGAUGUGUAUUUUCUUGGGGUGGUAGUUGUGAGAAGGGAUAUAUGCUUUAUAACAUUGAAUCUGGAAAGGUGACUGUUUCCAGAGAUGUUGUGUUUGAUGAAGAGGCAUGUUGGGAUUGGAAUGCACAAAAGGAAAGAAGGGUGAGUAUCCAAAUUACUGAGAUGUCAGAAGAAGAACAAAGCUAUGAAGGGAGUGCUUGUGAUUCUGAAACACAAUGUGAAGCUAGUGAAGAGAAUGUUGUGCAAAGCUCAGUUACUGAAAUUUGUGAUCAAGAAAGAAUGACAGGUCCACAGGAUAUUGAUCACACUCUUCUCAAGUACAGAAGUAUUGCAGAAAUAUAUGAGAAGUGUAAUCUUUGUAUUAUAGAACCAGAAUGUUUUGAAGAAGCUACCAAGGAUGAAUCAUGGCAAAAGGCUAUGGAAAAUGAAAUUUCUAUGAUUGAGAAGAACAAUACUUGGGAUCUUGUUGAUAGACCAUUUGAUAAACCAAUCAUUGGAGUCAAAUGGGUUUAUAAAACAAAAUUAAAUCUGGAUGGUUCUGUGCAGAAAAACAAAGCAAGGUUAGUUGCAAAGGGUUAUUCCCAGAAGCUUGGAAUCGAUUUUAAUGAAACUUUUGCACCAGUGGCAAGACUUGACAUUGUGAGAACUUUGGUGGCCCUUGCUGCACAAAAGGGAUGGAAAUUAUUUUAAUUAGAUGUAAAGUUUGCAUUUCUAAAUGGAAUGUUGAAUGAAGAGGUGUAUAUGGAUCAACCAUCUGGUUUUGUUAUACAAGGCAAGGAAGACAAAGUGCACAGGCUCAGGAAAGCUUUAUAUGGCUUGAAACAAGCUCCAAAAGCUUGGUAUGAAGAAAUAAAUUCCUAUUUUGCAAAGGCUGGAUUCCACAGAAGUCCGAGUGAAGCUACACUUUAUAUCAAGACAUCUCACAGUGGCAUUCUCAUUGUGUCACUAUAUGUUGAUGAUAUUAUCUACAUAGGAAGUUCAAAGGAGAUGAUGGUUGAGUUCAAAAGUGAGAUGAUGAGACAAUAUGAGAUGACUGAUCUAGGAUUACUUCAUCACUUCCUUGGUCUUGGAGUACUGCAGACAGACAAUUACAUUUUCUUGCAUCAAAAGAACUAUGCAAAGACUUUGCUUGAGAAAUUUGGACUUAGGGAUUGCAAGCCUGUUGCAACACCAUUAGCUAUGAAUGAAAAGCUUUCAAAAGUAGAUGGAAGUGAUCUGGCAGAUGAGACUUUGUAUAGGCAAAUGGUGGGAAGUUUACUAUAUUUGACAGCAACAAGGCCAUAUAUCAUGUCUGCAGCAAGCUUAUUGGCUAGGUUCAUGCACAAUCCUACCAAGAAGCAUAUGGGGACAGCUAAGAGAGUUUUGAGAUACAUACAAGGCACUGUGAACUAUGGAGUUGUUUAUCAGAAGGGAAAAGGAGUAGUGUUGGUUGGUUACUAUGAUAGUGAUUGGAAUGGAAGUGAAGAUGACAUGAGGAGUACAUCUGGCUAUGCAUUUAAUCUCGGUUCGGCUGUGUUCUCUUGGGCCUCAAUCAAACAAAGCAGUGUUGCUCUUUCAACCGCAGAGGUAGAAUACAUCAGUGCAACAGAAGCCACUGUACAUGCCAUUUGGCUAAGAUUUGUACUCUCUGAUUUCGAGGAAGAACAAGCAGAACUAACUCAGUUGUUGUGUGAUAAUACUUCAGCAAUUGCCAUAUCAAAGAAUCCAGUUCAUCCUCACAAAACCAGACACAUUAAUCGAAAAUUUCAUUUCAUCCGAGAUGUACUUCAAGAUGGUGAGAUUGAUCUGGUACUGUAAGACUGAAGAACAGGUUGCAGAUAUAUGCACUAAAGCUUUGGCAAGGGAUCGAUUUGAAUUUCUGAGGACAGCUUUGGGAGUGAUUUCAGCACAUCACUUAGAAAUGAGUGUUAGUUUAUAAGUGUAUAUGCUGAAAUGUAAUAAGAAUUCAGUUUAAAUGUCAGCUUUUGGAUCAUAGUCCAAGUGUGCAGCUAAGAUGUAAUCUUAGAGUAAGUGAUAGUUUAUGCCAUGUGUCAUUACCUUAUAGGGUAAAUGAAUGAAGGGUUAGAUUUAAAUGAUGUGAUGAAGAAAUAUUCUACUCCUAAUUGCUACAUGUGCUCAGUGUGCGUGUGAAUGAAUAGAAAUCAUCUCAGUUUCGCUUCUUCUUCAAGCUCUAGCUUUCUCUCUCUAAAAUUCCCACUUUCUUUCUCUUAAACUCUUAAUCUCUAGUAUUCAUAGAUUGUUGAUUUGAAGAAACUUACAUACAAGAUAAUAGUCUGUAUGCUAACAAUUAUUGCAACGCAAAUCAAUCAUACCUCAAUUCUUUGUCUUUCAUAAUCUAGGGCACGAUAUCAUGCAUUAUCUGUGGCAUUAGUACUCGUUAACCAAAGCUUUGAAUGCUUCUACAGAUUGGUUGGCAUGUUUACUCCUUGAACUGACCUAUUCAGCCAUUCUUCUAGGCUUCCUUUCACCUUGAACCAGCUAACCAAAGCUUUGAACUCGCUUCCUUGAGAAUCAAGAUUUGGGUGCCUAAUUCUUUUCGAGGCUUCAGAUUCAGCUAUGAAACUUCUAGAAGCACUUGAAUUUUGAAGAUUGAGUACUUUCACUGCAGCAAUUCUUUCCUCAUGCUGAUUGAGAAUUGCCUUGUAUACAGAGUCAACUUCCACCACCAAUCAAAUUUGCAGCCGAGAACCGAUCUGUUGCUUUUCUUGAUCGGCAAAGAAACACUAGUUGCAACACUACGAUCAAUCCAACAACCCCACAAGCAAUUGAGAGAAUAUUUUCAGCCUAAAAAGUAGUACUUUCUUAGAUAAAGCAUAAGGGCAAUCUUAAAUUAGGUGUACCGCCAUAUAGCCGUGUGUUUCCCAUGGUAGAAGUUGCAUUUGUGUUUUCUAAAAUUCCUUGCAUUGCUACUGCACCUUCAAAAUUGUUAAAUGAGAGGUUCAAAUUCUGCAACUUGAAACGCUCCAAAUAGUUUGGAAUUAUGCCGGAAAGGUUGCUAUAAGAAAGAUUGAAAUAUUCAAUCCCUCUCAAAGAACUCAAAGGAUUCAGGAAUUGUCCCAUCCAAUAAGUUACCUCUCAGAGACAGUCCUCAAACUCAUGCAACUCCCAAAUAGUUUUGGAAACUCGUGCAAUUCCUGAAUCUUUAAACCUCCAAAAUAUUUCUGGAAAUUGGCAUUGGUCCGCUGAAUUGGUUUCCAUUGUAAGCAACAUUUACUAUGUUUGGAAAUAAAGUGUGGUCCAUGCCAGGAGGAAGAGUUCCGUGACAGAAAAGUAUUCUAUUGAAGAGAGGUUGUAUAUGGAAAGAAAUAAUAAACUUUUCAACUGUCUGAGGCUAUUUGGAAUAGCUCCAUGCACAUAAUUUUUUUGCUACAGAUAAUACUUCAAGAGAAGUAAGAUCUCUAAGUUGUUUGUUUUAACUUUUGUGUAUAUGAAAUUUUAACUAAUAUUGACGCUUUUUGGUUCAAAAUUUGUAUAGUUAUGCAAAAUAAUGUGUUAUAAGGUUGAACUCGAUAAAGUUGGACGAAUCCGAACCCAACCUGAAUAAAUCUGAACGUACUUCAAACCCGAACCAGACUAAACCUGUAUGAACCCGAACCCAACCCGAAUUGUAAAAGUUGGGUUAGGGUUGGUUUGACCAUGCAACAAGCCCAACCCGCCCAAGUUCCACGCCUAUCUCUACGUGCUCUCUCUUAUCUUUCUCUCUCACCCUUGCCUGCGACCCUCUCUUUGGAUCUCUCUGUCUUUCUAAUUAAAUUAGUAGUAACGUUCGAAUCCACGGGGAGUUGUAGGGUAUUUUUCUUUUUCUUUUUAAUUAUUAAAAUUUUAAAAUCAUUUUAAAUAUCAUACUUGUUUAUACCAUAUUUAGGGCCUCCGUAUUUAGACCUCGUAUAAAUACUCGGGGGACUCAAAUGUAAUUAUAUAAUAAGGGAAGGGGCAAAUAUGUAAUAAAUGAUGAGCCUUUAUUCUAUAAAAAGACCCCUCACCCUCACAAAUAGAGGGCCUCAUUCUCACCCUCAACAGGCCAAUUCCUAAGCCUUCUCACCCCUCUCAAAGCUCUCACUCUCAUUUAGAGCUCUCUCUCCCUCAGAAAUAUAAUCAGUGUGGACGUAGCCCAAAUCUUGGGGUGAACCACGAUACACCUUGUGUUAUUUACAUUUCAUACAGAUUCACGGUCGGAUUUACGUUGUUCCAAGACCUCUGGUUUUGUGCAUCAACAUUUGGCGCCAUCUGUGGGAAACGACACGAAAAACUAUGUCGAUUCUUUCUCAAUUUUUCACCUCCACCGUGGAUCUGCAAAACCCACAUGGAGACACAGACACAGAGCUCUAUCUCUCUCUCCACGCUCACCAAUCCAUUCCAAAUUCCAAAUUCCAAAUUCCAGAGCCAUAAUCAAAAUCUCUCAUAAAUGAAGGUCUCCUUAUGGGGCAACCUCUGGGAUAGUGUGGUGGAACUGACCAAAGGGGCACGGCAAAAGGGGCAGUGAUCCUAUGCUCUGGGUUCCUUUUUUGCAGAAAAGCGGGAGGAUAAUGUUGUGAAGGAAGCGGCAUCUGCCGAAAUCCAGAGUCGAGAAGUUUAUUAGCUUGAUUUCACAACACCAUCACCAGUCCGUGUCGUCGAACACGGAAGAUGCAACAGAGUAUAAAGCGGUGAUGGAAAUGGCAGUAACCAAGUUCAGGAAGGUCAUUUCGUUGUUGGACAGAGGAAGAAUCGGCCACGCCCUAUCCCGGAAAGCUCCGGUAACCCAAAUUCCGAUAUCUUCAAUUGCAGAACCCCGGGAUCAAAGAACAGAGCAACCUUUUGUUCUCAACAAUCUACUGCGUUCAAGAUUUACUGUCUGACGCUGGUGGUUCACCUUUCACCGCUGCCAUAAAAAUCCUUAUCUAAAAACCAUUCCGGUUGCACUGACAAAAGGUAUUGGGUGCGCUGAGAGGAAGAUGGAUUCUGCCGCUGCUGCUACCACCAAUUUCUCGCCUUCAGCACCCAAAACUGCCGCGAACUCGUUCAUUUCUUCUUUAACAGCUGGGGACACUGCUGAGCAAUCGGUCUUUUCUGGAUUUCAAUCCCCCAGUCCCACCAUGUGCUAAUGUAAAGCCGGGCCUAGACAUGAGGAAGGUGUUUUAAAGAACCAGGGGCUAGAAAUGCUAUUAAAUGCCGACUUUUCUAAAGCAAUCCAAGUUGCAUUUGAGCUUCACAGGCCAUAAGCUUUAUCAGUGCUUUUCUAAAAUUUAGAGGAAGAGAGAGACUAAAGAAGCUUUUCUGGAAAAGCCGACAUGGACAACACAAACAAAUCAAGAUAAGACCCUUUUUUUUUCUUUAUUAUUUUGCUUUAUCAUUAUUACUUCUCUAAACCACCACUAGAGAAUGAUGAAACAACCCACUACUCAAUCGGAGAUAAUUGCAGAAAGCAGAAAAGCAAAAACAAAAGUAAAGCAGAAGAUGCCAUCAAUUUUUGAAAAAGAAAACUUUCAUCAUACAUGUUCCCACUUUUCUGAAGAAGCCACUGGAAUACGCACAUGGAAAAAGAUCUGCAACAACCCAGUACGCAGUAGGUGCAGUACUCACCAACGAUCUGCAACUGUCGAAACCUUUGUUUUGAGUGAUGUAAUUUAUUUUUUAUCUUUCGGAGACAUCUGUAUUAACCCCAUCAGAGGGUAAUAAUAGUAAAAAAAAAAACGGCAAAGCCCAAAAUAAAUGGGCUGGAAUGUUGUGUGGAGAGCAAAGGCCCAUAAGCCUAAAAUAGCACCAACUAGGUCAUCAAAAGUACGCCCAGUACUCCACAAUUAUUCGGCAACCCGCCGCUAUUACCACCAACCAGUUGAUCAAAAGUAGGCCUAGUACUCCAAAAUUAUUCGGCAACCUGCCGCUAUUACCACCAACCAGGUGAUGAAAUGUACAACCCGUACUCUAAUAUCAUUUGGCAACUAGCCAUUCAUGUAACCAACCCGAUGAUGAAAUGUACAACCCGUACUCUCCUUCAUGCCACCAACCAGGUGAUCAAAAGUACGCCCAGUACUCCAAAUUAUACAUGAGCAUUACUCAUGUCAUUCAUACAUAAACAUUCAUGAGCAUCACUCAUGACAAUCAUACAUAAACAUUCAUGACCAUCAUUCAUAUCAACAUUCAUAAGCAUCACUCAUGUUAACAUUCAUGAGCAUCACUCAUGACAACAUCCAUGAGCAUCACUCAUGUCAAUCAACAUAAACAUUCAUGAGCAUCACUCAUGUCAAUCAGCUUCAAAAGCUUCAUUUACAGAGCUCUAGCUUCGAAAGCUUCAUUUACAGAGCUCUAGCUUCAAAAGCUUCAUUUACAAAAGCUCCAGCUUCGAAAGCUUCAUUUACAGAGCUCUAGCUUCAAAGCUUCACUUGCAAAGCUUCACCUAUAAAGCUUCAGUGCAGGGUAUACAAAUACCGCCUCUGAACAACCGCCAUUUAGGCCCAUACAUGGAUUCAAUUUGAAGUCUCCAGCCAACAGACUCUAUUGACCGAAGACUUGGGGGACUACAUUAUGUACCAUAUAUUGGGCCUCAACUGGGCCUCAUGAAAAAUACUUGGGGGACUUAGCCCAUUAUUUAUGUAUUAAGGAGCGAGCUCUUAUUUUAUGAAAGGGACUCCCUCACUUUCAUUAGAAAGCACCCAUUAUUCAUGUACUGAGGAGCGAGCCCUUAUUUUAUAAAAGGGACUCCCUCACCUUCAUUAGAGAGCAACGCCGCCAGCUGAGCAACCGCCUCGCCGCGAGCAUCACUCAUAACUCAUCACUUAUGUAUUGAGGAGCGAGCCCUUAUUCUAUAAAAGGGACUCCCUCACCACCAUUAGAGCAACCGCCUCGCCGCGAGCAUCAACUCUAGCCCAUCAUUCAUGUAUUGAAGAGGGAGCCCUUAUUCUAUAAAAGGGACUUCCUCACCUUCAACACCACAAGCCGAGCCAACCAAGGCAACAUAAGCCACGAGCCUCGCAGCCUCGCAGCAUGUGCUACUUAUAGUUGAGCAUCAUUUCAGAUUGGGCACCGCCUCAUGUCGAGUAUCAGUGCUAGACGCCAUCUAGUUACUUCAGCCCACACAUAGAUUGAAUUUCAAGUCUCCAGCCAAAAGACUCUCUUGACUGAAGACUUGGGGGACUACUGUUUAUACCAUACUUAGGGCCUCCGUAUUUAGACCUCGUAUAAAUACUCGGGGGACUCAAAUGUAAUUAUGUAAUAAGGGAAGGGGCAAAUAUGUAAUAAGUGAGGAGCCCUUAUUCUAUAAAAGGACCCCUCACCCUCACAAACAGAGGGCCUCAUUCUCACCCUCAGGAGGCCAUUUCCUAGGCCCUCUCACCCCCCUCUUAGAGCCUCACUCUCAUUACAGAGGCUCUUACAUUCUCUCCCUCACCUCUCAGAGAAAUACAAUCAGUGUGGACGUAGCCCAAACCUUGGGGUGAACCAUGAUAACUCUUGUGUUAUUUACAUUUCAUGCAGAUUCACGGUCGGAUUUACGUUGUUCCAAGACCUCCAGUUUUGUGCAUCAACAAUACUAAACAAGUUCUUGAAUGUUAAAUAAAAUUGUUCUUAAAAGAUGUUCUUAAAAUAUUUUAAAAAAUAAUGAAAACAUUUAAGUACGAUACCAAACACGCCCUAAACACACUCUCUAAAAUAAGAUUUCUUUGCCUACCCGGCCUGAUACUUGGGCUACCAAAACCACCAAAUGAGCAAUUUGAGUAAAUUUAUUAACAAUGCAAGAGGUGCACUUAACGUUUAUUUUUGCAGACUGUGUACGAAAAGGCUUGCAUACAUAUAUACAUAUAUACACACACACAUAUACAUAUACAUACAUACAUAUAUGUAUAUAUAUAUAUAUACACACCAAACUUAAAUUGACAAAUUCUAAACUUAAAAUUGCAUAAUUUAAUUAUAAGAACUUGAACCAACGUUAAAUUGACAAAUUCCAAAUUUCCAAGCAAACAUAAAGAUGAUCUUACAAAUUAAGAUCAUUCACAAAACAUACAAAAUGAAAUUGCAAAACGGGAAAAUCCACUUCACUUGUUCCAGUCCUCCUCGUCAUCAUUCAGAAGAUCACCAUGCAAAAUUCAAGCACUGUCAUGGGAUUUUAUUUAAUGAUAAUAAGGUAUUAUUGCUCGCUACUUGGGCCGUGAUUACAUAUUCUCUCUAGGCAUCCUAGUUCCAGUUAGCACAUUCCUUAUUAGACUCAAUUCAGCUACCACAUUGCUCAUGUCUUUUCACUAUCUCGGCAUCGCUGUGUGGAUGAGCCUUCCUUCACGGCACAUAGGCAGAGCUAUGGCCAUCGGCGCCGCUCACCUCUCUGAUUUCUCUCCCUUGACUUCUUCAUCCAGAUUUCAGGGCACUGUACACCGAUUAUUCCCAAAAUCAGGUAAAUUUUGGAAUUAAUUUAGGGUUUGAGAUUUAGGGUUUGUGAAAUAUAAAUUAGGGUUUGUGAAGUCUAGUCUUGAUUUUAUUAAAAAUUUGCAUGGUUCUAGAUUAGGCAUUGUUCUUGAUUUUAUUAAAAAUGUUGGUUGAUUUUUAGUUUAGAUGUCUGAAGCAAUUCAAUUUCUGGAGAGAUUUUUAGUUUAGCUGUACUCUCAUCUUUGAAGUGUUAAUCUUUGAAGUAAUUCAAUUAUCUGCAUAAUUUGCAAUUUUGCAAAAUGGAACAGGAAAGUGUUGGUUGAUUUUUACUCUAAUCUCUGAGGUACUUCAAUUUGCAUAAUGGAAAAGGAAAGUGUUGGUUGAUUUUUAGUUUAAUCCAUUAAAUUUAGAUUUUUCACAGCCUGCAGUUGCACCAAAAUAUAUAGAACAUUAACAUAGGGUCAAGUUCAAUGGUGAAGAUAUACCAGAUAAAUUAAUAGCAAGGAAAAUAAUCAAAAUAUCAGCAUCAAAGUUCUUAAUUCUGACACCAAAAUUGAAUUGGAGGGGCCAAUAGGGUUCAUUCCAUCGAUUAUAUAUUGCUUGCAUUCAUCAUCCCGAUUAUAUAUUGCUUGCAUUCAUCAUUCCACCGAUUAUAAAUUUAAUAACUUGGUAUUUGUAAUUAAUGUGGGCCUAUUUUGUGAGAUUAAACAUUAAUAUUAGUAGUGAUGUGAACUUGGAUUAGAUCUUUAGAUCUUCAAAAAGUCUUGUAUCCAACUGUUUCAACUAGUUCCAAGAUGGAGACUCAAAGCGAGAACCAAGAUAUUGAACCAAUUAAUCUUGAUCAAGAAUUGGACCAAAGUGAAUCAAGCUUUGAUGACACUGGUAGGAAGAGAAAAAGAACCUCAGUUAUCUGGCAGCAUUUUGAGGAAAAAAGUUUUUGUGUGGAGGUGAAAGCUAUAUGUAACCAUUGUAAAGCUAGGCUAGCAUCGGGCUCCACUGUUGGUACUUCAUCUUUACUUUCACAUGUUAGAACAUGUCCUAUAUUGACGACAAAGAAAAAGAGUCCAUUUAUAACUGGUGAUGGGUCUGUUAAACAUGGUGCAUAUAGUUUUGAUGAAGGUAAUGCUAGGACAGAGCUAGCUUAUAUGAUUAUCUUACAUGAGUAUCCUUAUCUAUGGUGGACUACUUGGGUUUUAGGAGGUUUUGCAAUUCAUUGCAACCCUUAUUUAAGGCUAUUUCUAGAAGUACUAUCAAGAGGGAUAUUAUGAAAGUAUUUGAAUGUGAAAAGGGAGAGACCAUGAAGUUGUUGCAAAUGAACAAGAGUAAAAUAGCAAUCACAACUGACAUGUGGACUUCAAGUAAUCAGAAGAGAGGGUUUAUGGCUAUCACUUCUCAUUUUAUCGAUGCUUUGUGGACGCUUCAAAGUCGAAUUCUAAGGUAAUUUAUCGAACUAAUACCAUAUCUUUCUCUCCUGGUGGGGUGGGGGCCUUUCUAGUUGUUGGAGCUUUCUAGGGUUAGGGGAGAAAAGUAGUAUUCUUUGGUUUUUCCUGCAUGUUCAAGUGUAUAAUAUUUGAAGUCGCAGAAUUGUUUAAAGAAAGCAAUUUCAACUUUUGUUCUUCUCUUAGCUGUGUACAUUUUUGUAAUUUAAAGAAGUGUUUGGAUUGGUUGUUUUGUUCUGGUGGUUGUGGAGUUCUUCACUUUCUUGAGUUAGCUUUCAUACUUUUGACUAAGUUUGGAAACUUUAAACAUAUUUUGUACCAUAUUUUCGGUUCAUACAUCGAGUUCUCUUUUUCUAAGUUUGGAGACUUUAAAGUUCUAAACAAUUUUGGACUCCAUUUUUACAAUAAGAACUCGACCAAUCAAUUACUUAGAUCAAAGGUACUAUUAAAACACUACAAAUGGACUGCAAAGACACUAAAUUAAGGACUUAUAAGCAGUAGCUUAUAAGAGAUCUGGCUAGGUCUUCACUUUUUGUUUCCUUUUUACAUAAUCUGGAAUAUGUCUUGUUUACUGAUGGAAGAGAUCUUGCUUCUGUGUAUUAAAUUUUAGUGUUGGAUUUAUUGCCUAGCACAUCAUGUUACUCUGAGUUAUGAUAAUUAAGUGGUGUUUUAUAACAGGUUUGCAUAUGUUCCAUGCCCACAUAAUGCCGAGACACUUUCUGCUAUAAUGAUAGAUUGCUUAUCAGAGUGGAAUAUUGAUGGUAAGUUGUCUGCUCUCACAGUAGAUAAUUGCUCUACAAAUGAUACCAUGAUUGAGGAUAUAGUGACAUAUUGCAAGCUUUCACUUGUGUUAAACGGAGAAUUAUUUCAUAUGCGUUGUUGUGCUCACAUACUUAAUUUGAUAGUUAAGGAUGGAUUGGAUGUGAUUAGGGAUAGUAUUGAGACUAUUCAGAAUAGUGUUGCAUAUUGGUCUGGGACAACAAAAAGAGAGGAAAAAUUUGUUGAGAUAGCUCAACAAAUGAAAAUUAAGUUCUUUAGGAAGUUAGUCCUUGAUUGUAAAACUAGGUGGAACUUGACGUAUGUGAUGCUUACCACUGCAUUGGUAUAUAAAGAUGUAUUUCCUCGUUUAAAGCAGCGUGAGCCUUCAUAUAAAAAUGUUCCAAGUGAAGAAGAUUGGGCGAAGACUAACAUGAUUGCUAAAAAGUUGGAGAUCUUUCACCAAGUGACUGAGUUAUUUUCUGGGAUCAAGUAUCCCACAUCAAAUCUUUAUUUUCCAAAUGUGUGUCAGAUUAGGAUUGUAAUCUGUAAGUGGUUUGAGUCUGACCAUGUUGAAGUUAAGUUAAUGGCAACAAAGAUGUCAAUCAAGUUUGAAAAGUAUUGGCAUAAAAUUCAUAGUGCUAUGGCAAUUGCAGCUAUUCUUGAUCCAAGGUUCAAGAUGAAAUUGAUCGAGUAUUAUUUUUCUCUUAUUUAUAAAGAGAAUGCUCCAUCGGAAAUUGAGAAAGUCUUUGACUUGGCUCUUAAGUUGGUCAAAGAGUAUGAAUUGAAGCAUAGACCUGGGCUUCGGUCUUCUGAAUCUUCUUCUUAGACUGAUUUUCCAUCACAGUCAUGUGAUCUCAAAGUUGGUGAUCCUUUAACAUCUUAUGACCAACUUGUUAUGGAUUCUACUAUCGGUAAUGAACAAUCUGACUUAGACCUAUAUUUGGGGGAGAAAGUCUUGCCUAGGACUCAACAUUUUGAUAUAUUGUCAUGGUGGAAGACAAAUGGGAUUAAAUAUCCUAUUUUGCAUCAGAUAGCUCAAGAUAUUUUUGCUAUUUCUGUAUCUACAGUAGCUUCAGAGUCUUCAUUUAGUACUGGUGGUAGGAUUAUUAGUCCACACCGUAGCCGACUUCAUUCAAGCACAGUGGAAACACUCAUGUGUUCUCGAGACUGGAUGUGGGGUCAGAUGCGAGGUACUUACUGUAAAAUUUCAUAUAAAUUAUGUAUAUGUUCAAAAAUUUACUACUAUUGAACCAGAUUCAAACUCUACUCGUGUUGAAGAUUCUUCAUUCGGUGAUGAUACUGAUGUGAAUGUGGUAAAAACUAAUCUUUAUUUUUGUUUUUUACUUUGGAGUUAUUGGUGAUACUCAUUCAAUUUAUGCAUACUAAUUCAAUUAUACAUUUGUUUUGUAUGCCUCUUUUGGUGACAACGAGUCGAUGAUACUUUGUGAUUGAACGUGUUCGAAAGUGUUUAGUUUCAGAAUAUUUUGGAGCUUUGAAUUCUAGUAUUCAAGAUAAUGACUACUUUUUGUUUUUAGAAACUUUUCUUUUUAAUCAUAUGGAUUAUAAUUAAAGACUUGUUUGGGUGUAGCAGAAAAAUAUUGUUCGCAAACUAUUAUUUCAAUUAUUGGAAUUAUAUGAGGACUUAAAUGAUUAAAAUAGGGAAAUGUAUGCUAAAAUGUACCUAUAGCGGUGUUUAAUUGUCAGAAAAUGAAAAUUAUGACAAAAUUUUCUUUUGUAAUUUUCAAAUUGUUAAAAAAAAAUAAUGUAGACGGGCGAAAAAAUGGGUAAAUGAGUAAAAAAAAAAAAGGAUAAACGGGUUCAAAAACGGGUAAACGAGUAAAUAGUUAUGGUUAUGGUUAAAUGGGUAAAUGGUUAUUGUUAAAUGGGUACACGGUUAUGAGUAUGGAUAACCGUUUAUAAACGGUUAUGGUUAUGGGUAUAACCAUUUUUGCAAUUAUCCAACGGGUACAUGGUUAUGCGGGUAUGAACAUAAACGGUUAUGGGUAAAUAACCGUGGUUACCCGCCCGCCAUAACCGUUGCCCAUCCCUAAUUGUCGGCACCAAAUGAAGGCCCAAUGAGUCAGCCUAGCCCAACUUAAAGCGUGCCGAUAUUUGUCCUGUGUGAGUUUUGCCUUUGGGAGCAUUUCGCUCAUCAGUGCACUUGACUUAGGAAUGUAUUCAACUAGGAUUUUGAGAGAUUUUAAUUCUUUUAAGUAUUCAAUCAGGAUUUUAAGUGAUUAUCUGAAAUUCAAUGUGUACUCAAUUAGGAUUUUAAGAUAGUUUAUUAAAAUCUUUAGAAAUCCGGGUAAAAUUUUAAAGAAGUUUAUAACAUUCCAGGUGUAUUAAAUUAGAAUUUGAAUUUAAAGAAUUUGGAAGAGUUAAGAAAUUAAAGGGAAUUGGAAAGCUUUUUUGGUGUAUUUUAAGCAUCCACAAAUUUCCCCAAUCCUCAUAAGAUUUCGAGAGAAUUGAAUCAAAAUUUUACAUAAAAUCUCUACAAAUCAGUUAAACUCCAUAAAAAUUCAUAGACUUAUAAAUCCAUUAAAAUCUCUCAACUUCCCGAUUCAAUACAACCGUUAAUCAUGGCCUCGUUCGCUCAACCCGAAGACGACUUGGUCCUGAGCACCGGGUCAACUCGCCCGUUCGACGACAACGGUUACCUUGGCUACGACCCCCGACUCUCCUCCCAGCGAUUCAAUUCCUUCGUCGACUCCAAGUCGCUCAAGGACUCCGCCACCAAUUCUCCUAUCUUCCACGGCUCCGCCGUAGACAACGCUUUCGCCACUCAGCCGGUGUCGGAGGCCUUUUCUCCUCCGUCGAUCUAUGUCGAAUCUAACGGCCAGGGCUUUGAUGGAGGGUUUGGCGGGUCCGACGAUCCGAUUUUGCCGCCU